GUGUUGUUGAACGAUAUGGGAGUUCAUGACCUUUGACCAAUUCACACGGGGAUUUUCUGUAUUUUACCCUUUUAGUAGCCAUUCCCCGAAAUAGAAUCCUUUGAUCAUCAAGACCUGAAGCAGCCGCUAAUCAACCAUGGCUGCUACCAUCCUAGCCGAUGAUGAUGAUGAUGACAUAAACCCCUUCACAUCCAUAAUGCUGCUCGCCCCUACAUGCCAACCACCAAAACCAGAAUCAGAAGAAGACCACCAGAAUCAGAGCCCAUUAUCAUCAUCCAAAGCUGGAAUAACUAGUCAACAACUUCUUGACCAAAAUAACUACUACCUCCACUCUGUCAACUCCCACCUACUCAUCAGACAACUCCCUUCUCAAGGCCUCUCUUUUCAGCUCUGGCCUGCUGCAACCACUCUCGUCACCCUCCUUGAUACCCACUCCUCUCAAUCCACCAUCCCCAACCCACUUUCCACCUUAUUUAAAGCCCAAGAAGACCGUCCCCUCAACAUCCUGGAGCUGGGCUCUGGCACCGGUCUUGUUGGGAUUGCAGCUGCUGCUCUUCUCUCUGCUAAUGUCACUGUCACAGACCUCCCUCAUGUGCUAUGCAAUCUGCAUUUCAAUGUGGAGGCUAACUCCAAACUUCUUCAAGUCAACCAAGGUGCAAAAGUUAACAUAGCGGGGCUUUCCUGGGGAGUGGAUGAAGACAUGAAAGCUGUUGGGAAGGAGUAUGAUUUGAUACUGGGGUCUGAUGUAGUGUAUCAUGAUCACCUCUACAAGCCCUUGAUUAAGACCCUGAGGUUCUUCUUGUUGGGGAAUGAUGACGGCAGCAAGAAGAAAAGGGUUGCCUUUGUGAUGGCUCAUUUAAAGAGGUGGAAGAAGGAGUCUGCAUUUUUCAAGAUGGCUAGGAAGCUUUUCGAUGUUGACAUUAUACAUUCUGAUCCUCCUUCCCAUGGCGCUAGAGUUGGAGUAGUAGUGUACCGAAUGGUGGGGAAAUGUUUUCUCAGCGUCAAUUCUGUCCCUAGCUAAAUAUUUGAGCGAGGAAUUGAAGAGAACAUUCUUGAAAUUUUGAGAAAAUCUAGAAGUUUGUCAUGCAUCAAAAACUUUCCAGGGAAGAUUUUAAUAUCUUUGUUAAUGUAUUUUACUAAAUUGCAAUCACCAGGGUUUGAGUUCACUAACUUGUCCUUGAUCAAUUAGCGUCUCAGCAUAAACUUGAGCAGAAAUAAAACUUGCUUAACUAGAAUGUUGAAUGUUAUUAUUGUAAAACAAAUAGUUAGCACUUCUACCCGACCUCGUGACCAGAUCGUAUCAUGCCCUUAGCAAAACAAUGCACUCAAGAUUCAAAUACUGCAGUAUAACGCCAGAGAAUAUCGUUUUCCCAGGUACAAAUUUCUAUGAACAUUUGUCUGGCUAAAGCUUUCCAUGUUCUCUGAAUCCCAAGACGGAUGAAAGCGCACAAUUAAGACACCUAGAGGUUUGGAAGAGGAGCAGGAACAAUCAAUCGUUCUUGACAGUUCACGGUCAUGAUUUGGUCAAAAAAAUUUGUACGGUCCAGAUUUUAUCUUGUAUCUCAUUUUUAACAAUAUCUGUGGGACCUACAAAAAUUUAUUUUAGAAUUACACGUUGUUAAAAAUAAGUUACACGAUGUGCAAACAGAAUUACGCCGUGUACAAAAUGCACAUAACCUUCAGGAACGGUUGCUGUGAGGACUCGCAAAUUUCUUAUAUUUUUCUCAAAAAUGCCUUUUUAUUUAGAAAUUAUUCAUUUAUUAUAGCCCUACUACCUAAUCAUUCCCCAAUAAGUGCAAAUGAAUCUAGAAAGUAGGGUUUCACUUUUCGUUUUCAGUUGGAGCAAGUUAGGGUUUUCGCGAUUUUCCGAAGGAUGAUUUUUCGGUACGGAGCAAGGAUUCAAAUUUGGUGAUUAAGAGUGACUUUUAGGUGAGAAAUAAUAUGUGAUUAGGAACCAUGAUAAAAAGUUAGUGAUUGGGAAGAAAAAAUCCUAGUACGUGUGAUUUAAGAAAAAACGGUGCGAACCGACGUGUACCGCGCACUACCGAUUGAACGCACCACUGGACCACAACUUUCUUACCACGUGAGCUCAUUGAUAUUUGAGCAAAAUAACCCCUCAUUUCCAGCUGCCUUUGACCGAAAUUUGUGGCCACAAAUGCAAGGGAGAGAGAGAAAAAUUUGCAUGGCUUUGGUGGUGCCAAGUGUCACCACCUCAUGGCUCCUUGAUUAAUUUUUUUUUUCUUGCCUUUUUAUCCUUCAUUUCAGCCAUCUUUCUUCUUCAUUUUUUUCUGGUCUUGGCCGAGAGAGAGAGAGAGAGAAAACCCAAGAGAGAGUUCACCAUUUUUUCUUGAAAUCUAGUCACCAAGUGAGGAAACAAAGAAAGUAAACCGAUUAAAGUUAUCUUUGAGUGUUGGUUUAGUGAGGUGUUGGUGAAUUUUUGAAGGGGAAAGCUAGGGUUGCUCUUGGUAGACACUAAGCAAGGUAAGGAUGAUGAUUUUUCCAAUUCUUACUCUUAAUAUUGUUUAAAUUAGCUUAGUGGUGAAUAAUGGUUGUUAUCAUGUCUUGGGUGUUGUUUUUCCUUGUGGAUACAUGAAUUAGGGUUUGAUGAAUUGCUGCCAAACUUGAUGUAUGGUUAAUAUAUGUUGUAUCCAAGAUUGUAUAGGGGGCUUUGGUAGCAAGUGAAGCAAGAAAUGAAGAAAGUAACCAAAAAUUCCAGAUUUCUGGAAAAAAUUUCACCCUGUUCUGUCCGGUUCCAGUUUGUAUGGUUAGAGGCCGAAUUAGGCUUGUCAUAAAACAUGAAAGUUGUAGAGAAUAGUAUUUUAUAGUUGCCUACAAAAUUUCAGCUCAAUCAGAGCAACGUAGCCUGUGAAAAGACCAAAAUACCCUCGCUGCCCUAGAUUACAUUUCAGUGUUCCGCGUAGACAGUUCAGUCUUUUGGCUGUGUUUAUUCGCCAUAAUCCGUACGAAUUUAUCCAUUUUCCAAAACAUGAAAGUUUUAGUACUCUGUUUUAGCUUUUUAACGCCACCAAGAACACCUUAAACGGAUCUUGGUAGACUGAGAUAUGGCCAUUUGAAUGCAGUACGGUUAAAUAGCCGAUUAGUUGGAAUUAGGUUAUGUGAAUUGGGUAUUUGAUUAGGUUACACUGGAAAUUGGACUAAGUGAUCUUCAUGAACAUUGGAACCCUGUGUCUUAGCUUCGAAAGGGUACAAGUUGCACCUCAAUCCGAUAACUGUAGCCUCGGAUGUGCCCAUUCCGCAAGAGCCCGUCAAAACUGUCUUUUGUAAACUUCAUUUCCGCACUCGAUAUUAGCUUAAUUUUUGUUCUUGUCUUGUUUUGAGCCUACGGAAUGGCUAUUGAAAUAAAAUUGUGUUAUGGAUAACCUUGGAUUUGAUUGAGUAAGCAUGAAGCCAUAAAUGGCUGGAAAAUAGGAAAAUACAAAGGGCAUGCUGCCUAAAUUUUCGCUCGAGUACUAAGUUUCUAUUUGAACUGGUAUACUUACGUUUGGUCUAUGAAACCCUAGUCAUUUUUGUACACCGGUCCAAAUGUCCUCGUUUCACUUUAAAGUCUUUUUGUACGUUCUACUCAAUAAUUGUCGAGUUUCUUUGAUUGCACCUAAUUGUUGUGCUAGAUGAUCUGUAAUAUUCUUUCUCGUUUAAUUUAGGUUUUCUCGGUGACUGAGGAUAAUAUCCGGAAGGAUAUUUUACCCGUUGUUUUGCUUACAUAGGUGAGUGUUCCUUGUUUGCUAUAUUUUUCUUGACUUCAUGACUUGUGUUCUUGUUUGAUAAUGUGUUAAGUGCUUUCAAGGAUUUCCAAAACGAGUUUUCUAGGCGAACGUGUACUUUACCGCACUCGAGCAAAAUGAAACAUGAAAUUUUCAAUGAUUAAAUGUUGAAAUACUAGUUGCGCAUGAAUGUAAGCCUUUUUGGCUGAACUGGGCCCUUGCCCUUGUUGCCGAUCGACUCGAGCCAGAAGCGGACUCGGUCGGGCGAUUUGGUGACCUGGGUGAACGUUUGGUAUACUCGAGUAUUACCUUGUAGUCCGGCCACGUCCGGAUGGGUGGAGUCCGGUCAACGUCCGGAAGGGGAUGAAUGAACGAACGAAAGCACGAGGGUUUUACUUCCCAAAAAGGAAAUUUUCAAAUAAUUGGAGGAAUAAGGGAAAAUGUCAGGGGAACGAACGAACGAACGAAUAGUUCCAUGUGAGCUCGUAUCCUUUUAAUGAAUGUGUUACUAUCGCUUUCCAUUGUAAAAAUUUCUUGAAUUAUUGAUACUCCAUGUUUAACGUAUUGAAUUGACUAUCUGACUAUGUGUUCGGAACCUCACUGAGCUUUUAGCUCACCCCUUUAGUUUUGUUUUCCUUAACAGGGGACGGCGAGCAGGAUGAGAGCAUAGACUAGCCUAGUCUAGUUCUUUUGUUAUUCUUUGUAAUGGUUCUCGCCCUAGUGCUUGGCACGGGCUGGACGUAUGAAGGAUUGAGAACCUUUGUAUAUUCGAUCUUUAUACUCUCUUUUGGGAUGACAAUAUAUAUAAGUUCCGCUUUAAGUUUGGAUCGCUGCCCUAUUUAUUCUUGUGAUUUAUUCCGAUUUUAAUUGAGGACUGUAGUGAACGACUGAGUCCUGGCGAGAGCUGGGCAGGCGACCCGCCGAACCCUGGGGUACGCCCUAAGGGGAGGUGGGGCCGUCACAGUUGGUAUCAGAGCUUAGGUUUCAGAUCUCUGUAGUGUAUCCUAGGCUUGAAGUUUAGGAUGCCGGACUGUGGGAUUCGAUUUGACCUGAAAGUUAAGCGAUUGAGGGAGAAAACCUAUAGUUGCUUCGCGUGGUCUCUGCGCGGAGUGACCCUGGACUAAGUGGUGAAUAAGUAUGAGGGACUAAGUGAAGCUAUGAAUUGCGAAUGUUAUAGGCCUUAAAUAUUUCUCAUGGUAUCUGAGGACCAUAGAUAGGUAUGUCAGGCAGGAAUUCCGAUUGUAGAUUGUUUACUCUUGGGACUGCAGCUCCAGAUGUGAAUUAUCUUAUUUCGAAUUCUCGUGCCUGAGUACUCUAGAGUUGCGGCGCUGCUAAGGAUUUGAGACUUGCAUUUUGGGAACAUGAACAGGCUUUGUCUGACUAGAAUGAGCACAAGAGGUCAGGGACAUCUAGUUUGGAUAGUAAGUGACGUGAGAGACCGGACGGGCUGAUACUGGGACGACUUCACCUUUUCCUUUUGAUUUACCUGUAUAUUGUUACUACAUGACGUUAGUAUACCUGUGCGUACAUGGUUAUCUGUCCAACUUGAUAUGUAUUUGUGUAUUUGCUUAUCCGUCUUCUUGAUAUGGCGUGUUAUGUGCGUAUAUGUUUAUUUUUGUAUUUGGAAUGCUAGAAUUUGUUACUGUAGUCAAUUUACUGUGUUUAUUUACUUAAUUACCUUUUGGGGAAAAAGAAAAGAAAAGAGAGAGGGAAAACAUAUAUAUGGAUGGGAGGCGUAGUCGUGGACGUGGAGCUAGUCGUGGCCGUGGAGCUAGGCAAGCUCAAGAACCGAGAGAAGAAAGAGAAACAGUGGCCGAGCAAGAACAGGGACCGAGGGUUGAGGCUGGAGAUCAAAUGGCGACGGCGAUGAAACAAAUGACAAAUAUCCUGGCACGAAUGGUAGAUCAACAGGGUCAAAUGCCAGUGAAUCAACCCUGGAAUCCCGAGAUCGGAGAGGAUAAGGCUCUUGAGAGGUUCCAAAAGUUUCUACCUCCGAAAUUUCAAGGAGGGCCUGAUCCGGAUAUAGCUGAGCAGUAGUUGGAGGCAAUGAUUAAUAUCUUCGCGGCUUUGAAUUACACGGAGUAAAGAAAAGUAAAUUUUGCUGUAUUUCAAUUCGAAGGACCAGCCCGCGCGUGGUGGAAUGUAAUUAAGGCCAAGUGGGAAAGAGAACAGACGGUAUGGACAUGGGCGAACUUUGUAAGGGAAUUUAACGAAAAGUAUCUCCCACCUUUAGCCCAAGAAAGGAGAGAGGACGAAUUUAUUGGGUUGCGUCAGGGAACCCUAAGUGUGGCCGAAUAUGAGACCAAAUUUACUAGACUGUCUAAAUUCGCUUCUGAAUUGGUGGUUACAGAGCGACGGAGAAUAAGACGAUUUAUACAAGGACUAAAUUUGAAAAUCCAGGAGGCAUUACCGGCAGUUCAAGUUAAUACGUUUACAGAGGCUCUUGAGAAGGUCCAAAGAAUUGAGGAUGUGAAAGCCCAAGUAAAAGCCUUUCAAACGCGGAAAAGAGAUACAUCCAGCAGUAUACCUGAGGAAUCCAGAGAAAAGAUAACGCUCUCCAAAGUGCAAAAAGUUAACCAUUCACCCCGCCCACCUUGGACCUUAAGAGUAUUAGAUGAAAGGUCCAUGAAAGGAAGUCAGAUCGGAUCAAAGGACAUUUCUCGAGAAGAUCCAACAGUAGCUCCUCGAUUGGCCUGUGGAUACUGUGGAAAGGCAAAUCACACUGAGAAUGAUUGCUGGCGGAAAGGGGGAAAAUGUUUGAUUUGUGGGAGUAGCAAUCAUCAACUUAGCAAUUGCCCGAAGAAACAGCCACGAGAGGGUAGUACUCAACAAGUGGAAGGAACCAAACUGAAACAAAUUCAUGAAAGAGGAAACCGAACAAAAGUAUCAACACAAGUUUAUGCUGUAGAUCAGCACCGAGUUCUGGGGUCCUCCGAGGCGACGAAAGGUAUGAAUUACGAGGUCGAAAUUCUUUUAAGGGGGAGAGAGUGUGAGGACUCGCAAAUUUCUCAUAUGUUUCUCAAAAAUGCCUUUUUAUUUAGAAAUUAUUCAUUUAUUAUAGCCCUACUACCCAAUCAUUCCCCAAUAAGUGCAAAUGAACCUAGAAAGUAGGGUUUCACUUUUCGUUUUCAGUUGGAGCAAGUUAGGGUUUUCGCGAUUUUUCGAAGGAUGAUUUUUCGGUACGGAGCAAGGAUUUAAAUUUGGUGAUUGAAAGUGACUUUAAGGUGAGAAAUAAUAUGUGAUUAAGAACCAUGACAAAAAGUUAGUGAUUGGGAAGAAAAAACCCUAGUACGUGUGAUUUAAGGAAAAACGGUGCGAACCGACGUGUACCGCGCACUACCGAUUGAACGCACCACUGGACCACAACUUUCUUACCACAUGAGCUCAUUGAUAUUUGAGCAAAAUAUCCCCUCAUUUCCAGCUGCCUUUGACCAAAAUUUGUGGCCAAAAAUGCAAGGGAGAGAGAGAAAAAUUUGCAUGGCUUUGGUGGUGCCAAGUGUCACCACCUCAUGGCUCCUUGAUUAAUUUUUUUUCUUGCCUUUUUAUCCUUCGUUUCAGCCAUCUUUCUUCUUCAUUUUUUUCUGGUCUUGGCCGAGAGAGAGAGAGAGAAAAAACCCAAGAGAGAGUUCACCAUUUUUUCUUGAAAUCUAGUCACCAAGUGAGGAAACAAAGAAAGUAAACCGAUUAAAGUUAUCUUUGAGUGUUGGUUUAGUGAGGUGUUGGUGAAUUUUUGAAAGGGAAAGCUAGGGUUGCUCUUGGUAGACACUAAGCAAGGUAAGGAUGAUGAUUUUCCCAAUUCUUACUCUUAAUCUUGUUUAAAUUAGCUUAGCAUCUCAAAUUUGUGGUGAAUAAUGAUUGUUAUCAUGUCUUGGGUGUUGUUUUUCCUUGUGGAUACAUGAAUUAGGGUUUGAUGAAUUGCUGCCAAACUUGAUGUAUGGUUAAUAUAUAUUGUAUCCAAGAUUGUAUAGGGGGCUUUGGUAGCAAGUGAAGCAAGAAAUGAAGAAAGUUAUCAUUGAAACAAAAAAUUCCAGAUUUCUGGAAAAAAUUUCACCCUGUUCUGUCCGGUUCCAGUUCGUGUGGUUAGAGGCCGAAUUAGGCUUUUCAUAAAACAUGAAAGUUGUAUAGAAUAGUAUUUUAUAGUUGCCUACAAAAUUUUAGCUCAAUCGGAGCAAUGUAACCUGUGAAAAGACCAAAAUACCCUCGCUGCCCUAGAUUACAUUUCAGUGUUCCGCGUAGACAGUUCAGUCUUUUGGCUGUGUUUAUUCGCCAUAAUCCGUACGAAUUUAGCCAUUUUCCAAAACAUGAAAGUUUUAGUACUCUGUUUUAGCUUUAUAAUUCCACCAAGAACACCUUAAACGGAUCUUGGUAGACUGAGAUAUGGCCAUUUGAAUGCAGUACGGUUAAAUAGCCGAUUAGUUGGAAUUAGGUUAUGUGAAUUGGGAAUUUGAUUAGGUUACACUGGAAAUUGGACUAAGUGAUCUUCACGAACAUUGGAUCCCUGUGUCUUAGCUUCGAAAGGGUAUAAGUUUCACCUCAAUCCGAUAAGUGUAGCCUCGGAUGUGCCCAUUCCGCAAGAGCCCGUCAAAACUGUCUUUUGUAAACUUCAUUUCCGCACUCGAUAUUAGCUUAAUUUUUGUUCUUGUCUUGUUUUGAGCCUACGGAAUGGCUAUUGAAAUAAAAUUGUGUUAUGGAUAACCUUGGGUUUGAUUGAGUAAGGAUGAAGCCAUAAAUGGCUGGAAAAUAGGAAAAUACAAAGGGCAUGCUGCCCAAAUUUUUGCUCGAGGACUAAGUUUCUAUUUGAACUGGUAUACUUACGUUUGGUCUAUGAAACCCUAGUUAUUUUUGUCCACGGGUCCAAAUGUGCUCGUUUCACUUUAAAGUCUUUUUGUACGUUCUACUCAAUAAUUGUCGAGUUUCUUUGAUUGCACCUAAUUGUUGUGCUAGAUGAUCUGUACUAUUCUUUCUCGUUUAAUUUAGGUUUUCUCGGUGACUGAGGAUAAUAUCCGGAAGGAUAUUUUACCCGUUGUUUUGCGUACAUAGGUGAGUGUUCCUUGUUUGCUAUAUUUUUCUUGACUUCAUGACUUGUGUUCUUGUUUGAUAAUGUGUUAAGUGCUUUCAAGGAUUUUCAAAAUGAGUUUUCUAGGCUAGCGUGUACUUUACUGCGCUCGAGCUAAAUGAAACAUGAAAUUUUCAAUGAUUAAAUGUUGAAAUACUAGUUGCGCAUGAAUGUAAGCCUUUUUGGCUGAACUGGGCCCUUGCCCUUGUUGCCGAUCGACUCGAGCCAGAAGCGGACUCGGUCGGGCGAUUUGGUGACCUGGGUGAACGUUUGGUAUACUUGAGUAUUACCUUGUAGUCCGGCCACGUCCGGAUGGGUGGAGUCCGGCCAACGUCCGGAUGGGUGGAGUCCGGUCAACGUCCGGAAGGGGAUGAAUGAACGAACGAAAGCACGAGGGUUUUACUUCUCAAAAAGGAAAUUUUCAAAUAAUUGGAGGAAUAAGGGAAAAUGUCAGGGGAACGAACGAACGAACGAAUAGCUCCAUAUGAGCUCGUAUCCUUUUAAUGAAUGUGUUACUAUCGCUUUCCAUUGUAAAAAUUUCUUGAAUUAUUGAUACUCCAUGUUUAACGUAUUGAAUUGACUAUCUGACUAUGUGUUCGGAACCUCACUGAGCUUUUAGCUCACCCCUUUAGUUUUGUUUUCCUUAACAGGGGACGGCGAGCAGAAUGAGAGCAUAGACUAGCCUAGUCUAGUUCUUUUGUUAUUCUUUGUAAUGGUUCUCGCCCUAGUGCUUGGCACGGGCUGGACGUUUGAAGGAUUGAGAACCUUUGUAUAUUCGAUCUUUAUACUCCCUUUUGGGAUGACAAUAUAUAUACGUUUCGCUUUAAGUGUGGAUCGCUGCCCUAUUUAUUCUUGUGAUUUAUUCCGAUUUUAAUUGAGGAUUGUAGUGAACGACUGAGUCCCGGCGAGAGCUGGGCAGGCGAUCCGCCGAACCCUGGGGUACGCCCUAGGGGGAGGUGGGGUCGUCACAGUUGCUCCUGCAACGGUUCCUGCCCUCGGUCCCUAGAGGUUUACACUGGUCAGUAGAGCCAACCCGCUAAAAAAAAAAAAGAAAAAAAAUCUUGUGCCAAUGAUAUUUAUCCAAGACAGUGCAUGCAGCUCAAUCAAGCAUUUGGAUGCGAGAGGCAAUAUCUUGGACCAACCAAUCAAAUCCGUCAUGUAAUCCCUCUCCAGUGUAUGCACUACAUCCAACAAUUCUCCAGCGUCGACUUUUCUCCAUGGCUUCUAAAUUGGGUACCUAUUCUAGCAAAAAGGAGCCUGAUCUCAUGGCCUUCAACCUAUUUCAUCUGAAGAGAGAGAAAACAUUGUAUAUCCUGCAUGUUAGCAAAAAUCAACAUUGAUGCUCCUGACACCUCUGUCAUUUCACAUCAAGAAAGUAAAGUGGAGAGAGAGAGAGAGAGAUAUUGUUACAAAUGCAAAAAACUCAAAAACAACCUAAACAUUUUUUUUAAAAUAUGGAAAACUAAGGCUGUUUUAUGGACCAGUGACAUUAGACUCCAUUGUUCGCAUAGGAUUUUAAUGGGUAUACAUAGGGAAAGGGACAAACUUGACUUUCCCAUUUUUUGUUUGGUAACUAAGAAAUGAGAUAAUCAAAUUGAUAUGCCCAUGUACCAAAUGGAGAGAAACUAUUAAGAUUGUGAAACUAGGACUUGAAGGCUAUGAGGCCACCAUGGAAUGGCACUUUGUGUCUUCUACUUCAAUAUGAAUGUUUAGGUCUUAGGGACAGCCCCUAAUUUGUCAAGAUCCUGGCUUCAGCAUUAGGGAUUUAACACUCGAAUUUGGGAAAAAUCAGAGUACGGACGAAGAGAGAGAGAGCGAGAGAGAAAAGAAGUAGAAAGAGAGAGUAAGAAUUAGAGAGAAAAAGAAUGAAAUUCUGUUAUUGUUCGUGCAUGUGAAUUCUGCCAAUCGAUCCCAUACAAAUAAGAAUGGCUAAUCGACUUUAACUAAUUCCAACUGAAUCUGUUAUGCAUGGGAACGACACCGUUCCACUUAUUCUAAUUUCUACUGAUUUAUUUGGUCGUAAAACGACACCGUUCCACUUAUUCUGCUUCCUACUGAUUUGUUUGAUUAGUUACAUAAAACGACACCGAAUGCUGACUUAAUUUCUUCAUCCUGACAUUGCCCUCCCCUUUUAACAGUCUUGUCCUCAAGAAUGAAACCAAGGAAAUUGUGCUUGUAUGAAGUCCUUAUCUUCCCAUGAAGCUUCUUCCUUAUCCAGCUGGUACCAUUUGAUCAAGUAUUGUAUCACUGACUGUCCAUUCCGCAUGAUCACUCUCCUCUAUAAAAUGGAUUCUGGUUGUAGAGGACACUGGUCAUCAUUGUCAAUCUCAGGCAGGGUAGCUGAAAUGGGCUGUAGAGGUCUAAUUUUCUUUUUAAGCAACAAAACAUGGAAUACUGGAUGAAUCCUUACCCCAGUAGGUAAUGUGAGACGAUAGGCAACUGGCCCUACUUUGGCUUCGACCUGGAAGGGACCAUAGAACCUUGCAAACAGUUUGAGGCACUUCCUGAUAGCCACUGAUUGCUAUUUAUAAGGUUGCAGUUUCAGGAAGACCCAAUCACCAACCUCAAAAGUUCUUUCAGUGCGUUUUUGGUCAGCGAAAAACUUCAUCCUUUGUUGUGCCUUUAUUAGGUGAUCUUUGAUUCUGCUAGAGAUCCUCAAUCUCUCCUGGAGUAAUUGGGAAACUGCUGGUAUGAUUGUGUCAAAAUGAGGUCCUAAAGGCAAGGGAAUAGGCUGGUAUCCAUAUAAGGCUUCGAUUGGAGUCAUUUGUAGACUGGAGUGACAAGAGGAGUUAUACCACCACUCUGCCGGUGCUAGCCACCUGCUUUAGUUAUGGGGAAAUUCCCUAGUCAUGCAUCUUAGGCAAGCUUCGACACAUUGGUUGAGUCAUUCACUUUGUUCAUCUGAUUGGGAGUGGUAGGCAGAGCUGUAACUCAACUCUAUCCCUAAUAGCUUGAAGAGCUCCUGCCAGAAAGUACUUAUGAAUAUCCUGUCUCUGUCAGACACUAUGGAUUCUGGGAGGCCAUGCAAUCUGAAUAUGUGAUCCAGGAAAAGUUGAGCCACUUGCUUGGCAGUGAAUGGAUGACCUAAGGCAAGGAAAUGCCCUACCUUGGUGAAUCUGUCAAUUACCACCAUCACUGUAUCGUAGCCUUAUGAUUCUGGUAGACUCUCUAUGAAGUCCAUAGUCACAUGAGUCCAAACCAGGCAGGGAACAGGUAAUGGUUGUAAUAGGCCAGGGUAGUGUACAUGCUCAGAUUUGAACCUCUGACAUGUAUCACAGGCUUGAAUGAUUCUGAUGACAUCCUGCUUCAUAGUAGGCCAAUAGAAUAAAGUUUUUAGCCUUUGCCAGCAGCCUCUUUGUCCUGAGUGACCCCCAACUGCUGAUGCAUGGAGUGUUUGGAUGAGCUUAUCCCUCAAUCCACUGGUUGAGCCUACAUAAAGUUUGCCAUUGUACUUCAGUAAUCCUUUGUCCCACUCAAAUUGUUGGUGAGCCGCAGGGUCCAGCAGUAGUUGAGAAAUAAUGUCCUGGCACUGAGGGUCUAAGUCAUAGCUCUUCUGGAGUUCUUUAUCCAUAGUGGCUUGACAGUAGAAAGGGCCAAACAGGAUCCUUGUUGAGCUGAUUAUUCCUGAUUUACCCCAUGUAGUCUUGACAGUGCAUCUGCUACUUUGUUUUCUGCUCCCUUUUUGUACUGAAUUUCAUAGUCCAGCCCCAGUAAUUUAGCUAACCAUUUGUGUUGUAAUGUAGUGGUGAGUUUCUGAUCUAACAAGUACUUCAGAGAUUGGUGAUCUGUCUUAAUAACAAAAUGAUGUCCUACCAGUAAUGCCUCCACUUGGUCACUGCCAUUACUAGUGCUAGCAGUUCUUUCUCAUAAGCUGACAGCCUCAAAUUCCUAGGUGACAAGGCCUUGCUUAGGAAUGCAAUGGGGAUGGCCUUCUUGCAUUAGUACUGCACCAAUUCCACUUCCACUAGCAUCAGUUUCAAUAGUGAAGUGUUUCUGGAAGUUUGGCAGUUUAAGAACUGGAGCAGUGCUUAUAAUAUGUUUUAGUGAUGUAAAAGCCUUCUGUGCUUCAUUACUCCAAUAGAAAUUGUCCUUCUUAAGCAGCUCAGUAAGAGGUUUACAGAUGAUUCCAUAAUGCUUGAUAAACCUCCUGUAGUAACCAGUUAACCCCAGAAAAUCUCUCAACUCUUUAAUUGUACUAGGAACAGGCCAGUUCAUGAUGCUUUCAACCUUGGACUGAUCCAUGUACACUCCAUUCUCAGAUAUGGUAUGACCAAGAUAGUCCACAGUUUGUUGUGCAAAUGAGCAUUUAGAUCUCUUAGCAAAUAGUUUGUGUUCCCUUAAGACAACCAGCACUGUUCUCAAAUGAUCUAGGUGUGAUUCUAACGUGGGGCUGUAUAUUAAGAUGUCAUCAAAGAAAACCAACACGAACUUCCUUAAGUAAGGUUGAAAUACUUGAUUCAUAAGAGCCUGAAAGGUUGCUAGUGCGUUGGUCAGCCCAAAGGGCAUUACUAGAAAUUCAUAAUGGCCACAAUGAGUUUGGAAAACAGUUUUGUAAGUGUCCUUGGGUUUGACUCUGAUAUAAUAGUAGCCAGAAGUGAGAUCCAGUUUGGUUUUGUACCUUGAUCCUGCCAAUUCAUUGAUCAGCUCAUCUACAUUUGGAAUAGGAUAUCGAUCUUUGAUGGUCAUCUCAUUCAGAUGCCUGUAAUCCACACAAAAGCGCCAUGUACCUUCCUUCUUUUUAACCAACAGAACUGGUGAGGCAAAAGGACUGUUGCUGUGGAUGAUUAUUCCAUGCUGUAACAUGUCUGUAACCUACUUUUCUAUUUCACCCUUCUGAGAGUCAGGAUAUCUGUAUGGCUUCAUUUUAAAAGCCUGAGACCCCUGUUUUAAAGGAAUUUCAUGAUCUAUUUCCCUGGUAGGAAGCUCAGAAGGAGCCUCAAAAACAUCAGCAAAUUCCUCAAUGAUGCCUUGAACCUCAAUAGGCAUAUCCCUCUUCUCUGAUUGAUUAUCCUGUCCCAUCCUCAUAGCCAGGGACAUCUGCUUCUUAUAUUCAAUAAAGUUCCUCAAAUCACUCCCCCUAAUAAGAUCCAAGUCACAGUUCUCAGCUUGUCCCCUUAACUGUACCACUUCCACUUGAUUGUACAAGGAGAUUCUCAACUGGUGAAAAUCAAAAGUAAUGGGGCUAAAACGAGUCAUCCAGUCUACUCCCAAUAUGAUAUCCCAGUCACUGAGGUCUAUUACUUUCAAGUCAUAGCAGAAUUUAUGCUGAUUGAUCUCCCAUACCACUUUAGGACAUAUGGCUUUACUGGCUACACAAGCUCCAUUUCCUACUAUUACAGAAAAAGGAUCAACUAGUUGAUAUGGAACGUCAAAGGCAAUUACCUUUUCACUGCUGAUAUGGCUAUCUGAGCUCCCAGUGUCAACCAAUAUUAACAUCUCUUCCCCAUCCAGUUUCCCUAUCAGUGUUAUUGUUUUCCUCUGCAGAGCCUCUGGCAAGGUAUGUAGAGACAUUUCCAUGACUUGUCCAGGAUUGCCUGUAGCUCCAUCUUGUUCCCCUAAUGCAUCCUCAAACUCAGAAUCUUCUUCCUCCUCAGUGAUCAGAAGAUUCAAGUGGCCUAACUUACACUGGUGACCCUGUCCAAAUUUUUUUCCACAUUUGAAACAAAGUCCAUUGUUUCUCCUAUACUGUAAUUCUUGAGCUGAUAGUCUUUUAGGUUCUGCAUCUGCGGUAGAAAUUGGUUUCCCUUUGAAUGAGGUAUUCCUGAAGGUGCUAGUAGAAGGCACCUUAUAGUGGGAACUAUGGAUCUGUUGUUGGGAAGAACUCCUGGAGAUUCCAAACUUGUUUUCAGGUACAGUUUUCCAGCUUCUGACUUGAAGUUUCAGUGCAUCUUCUUGCAGUGUAGCCAUUUCAAAAGCUUCUGACAAGGUUGCAGGUUUCAACAUUCUUAUCAUUGUUUUGAUCUCGUCCUUAAGUCCACUGAUGAAGCUAGAUACAAAAUAUUCCUCACCUAGGUAGGGAUUCUUAAUCAUCAUAAAGGUUUUGAGUUCUUCAAACUUUUCCUGGUAUUCUUCCACCUGCCCUACUUGUUGCAGUUUAUUGAAUUCUUCCACCACAUCCCUGCCAAUCUUAUUAUCAAACCUUUUAUACAGCAGUUCUUCGAAGGUUCCCUAUGUUAGACCUAGUUUUUCUAAUUUUACUCCCUGGAACCAAUUGUCCACCCUCCCUUCUAAGUACAUUUCUAUGACUUCCAUCUUAUGAUCCUCCAAUGUCUUAAAUCUGGUGCUUUCUACCAUGGAAUUUGACUUCUUCCACGGAUCCGACCGGCUCUGAUACCAAAUGUUAGGAACCUGGAUUUAACACUCGAAUUUGGGGAAAAUCAGAGUAUAGACGAAGAGAGAGAGAGAGCGAGAGAGAAAAGAAGUAGAAAGAGAGAGUAAGAAUUAGAGAGAGAAAGAAUGAAAUUAUAUUAUUGUUCCUGCAUGUGAAUUCUGCCAAUCGAUCCCGUACAAAUAAGAAUGGCUAACCGACUUUAACUAAUUCCAACUGAAUCUGUUACGCAUGGGAACGACACCGUUCCACUUAUUCUAAUUUCUACUGAUUUAUUUGGUCAUAAAACGACCCCAUUCCACUUAUUCUGCUUCCUACUGAUUUGUUUGACUAGUUACAUAAAAUGACACCUUAUGCUGACUUAAUUUCUUCAUCCUGACAUAAUCUCAUCCUAGAAUGUGAACCUUAAUAAUUAGAAAUUUCAGUGGUUAAAGAGUUCCUUGGGUGUGGCCUUUCACUAAAAAUAUGAAUUUUUAGGACUUGGGGGCGGCCCCUCGCUGCUCCCUAGUUUCAUCCUAGAGUAUGAACCUUGUUAAUUAAAAAAUUCAGCUGUUAAAGAGUUCAAAUUUGUUUCUAGUUUCUUUAAAUAAUGAUAGAGGGGCUUAAUCAAUUUUGCUAUAAACCUUGAUAAUUUAAAAAAUGACAGAUAUUUUUACUUAAGAGUAACUAUAACUGUAAUCACAUGAACCUAAAAUAGGUUUUGAGUGUCCGAUAAGUUGAACUCUAUCAAAAUCUUGAUUAAGUUCUUAGCAAUUUCAAUCUUGUAAGGGUAAAAAACAAAACAACCUUUUGUAGUAAAUUUAAUAUACAGAAAAGCCCUCCGUGAUUUUAAAACGUACAAAACGACACAUCAUACUUUGAACUAAAUUGUAAAGUAACGGAAUCCGUUAAACUUAAGGGAAUGGACGAAAUGAUAAAAAUGCCCUAAUAUAACUAAGCAAAAGACAACUCAACAAAAUCAUUUGUUUCAUUCUCUAGAGAGAGAGAAUUGUGGACUAAAGGAUAGAACAGGUAUAUUUGUUAAAAAUUAGGUACAAAAAUUUUUUUUAGGUUCCAAUAAGUCAUUUGUGAUGUCCCCACUUCUCCCAAGGGCGAAUUCAAGGGUAUCCGCAGAACGCUUGCCUAGCUCUCGCCAGGAUUCGGUACGAUUUCCGUUCAAGCUUAAUAUAAUAAUAACUAUUAAUACCAGACGACGUAAGAAAAGAAGUCACUUCCAUACAUAGAUAUUCAAUCUUACAUUACAAAUUUCAAAAUACAUCCACUUUUCCAAAAUAGACAACUUCCAUAAGAUGUCUAGACAAGUACAUUCCAAAUUUCAAGCCAAAAGAGCCAUCAAAUAGGGUUUUCCAUAAUCCCUUCCAGUUCAGCUCCUGUUAAGGAAAACCAAUCUAAUAGGAUGAGCGGAUGCUCGUGAUGCCAAGAAAACAUGCAAAACACGUAGUUCAAAUAACAAUAAUACUUGAACAAGAAUGAAAGCUGUAACAUUAAGUAAUUCACAAUUAACAAUAAAUCACACUUGAUAAGGAUACAGGAGCUCUCAAGAGCUAUUUUCCACUUGCUCGAUCCGGAACCUCCACGAGUUGACACUCCGUCAAUCGGGUAGGUUAUGAUCCGUAGAACUUCACUUACACUUUCGCCGUUCACCGUUACUCCUCCUGCUCCGGGCCCACACUUCUUUUAUAUAAGGCGAUACUAUUCGAGUAUGCCAAGCAAGAUCUUUCCAAUAGAUCAAGCUUAUACACUUUUCCCAUGGCUCACCAAGCUUCUCGCCCAAACCCAUGCCGGCUCGAGUCGCAAGGUCGGCCGAUGAGAUUUGGGCAUCCCCCACUAUUAUCACUAGGAGCGGCGGAGAUUUACUCCAAACGACAUAUGCAACCAUAGUAUAAUUAACCAUUAUAACACUUCACUUAAUACACUUAACAAUUCACUUUAAGUAAUUCACUUCAAUCAAUUCAAAGACACUUUACUUAACCGAAAACGAGUGCGAUAAAGUACACACUCAACCUAGCAUUUUCAAAAUACUCAAUCAAUAAUAACAAUUAAGCACGUAACAAUUUUUCACACACUUGACACUCACCAAGUCAAGAUAAGAGUGAGUGAACGAGCAAUUAAGUCGUUAGGCAUCCACUUCGAGAUUCUCUUGCAGAUCUUCUUGAGUGCCCGGACAAUUAACAAGUAUUCUCACUCAAAACCAUAUAUUUAUCAAUAAAGACGGUACACUCAUUUAGACUAGUCAAUACCUCAAACAAAGAAUCUUAACCACUCAAAUAAAGGUUCAAAAGUGAGGAUUUAUUAACACAAGAAAAAUUGAUUUCCUCUAUGAAAUCUAGUUUAAAAUGAUCAAUCAUUAUAAAAAGGUAAGAGAAAAGUUUCCAAAACUCAUUUCCCAUCUAGUCGGAAAAUUUCAGUUUUGCACGUCAAAUUUAGAAAAAUCAAAACUUGCAGUCAGUAGGUCCAAAAUUGGAAACCUUUAUACCAUUGGAAUCUUGGUUCAAUGUACUAAAAGUUCCUAGAAGACACUUUUCCAAGAUUCUAAAUAGAAGACAUUCAAAUUUCAGCUCAAAGUGGCUGACUUGAGCAUACAAGACAGUUUCGAUCAUGUUUUUCGGCAAACUUUGGAAAUUCGGAAAAAUUCAUAGAAAGUGAACUGGCCUCUAAAAUUUGUAUCACAAUGAGAAUUUCAAUCAAAGUUUCAAACACAACAAGUGGAACUGAAUUCGGAGUUUUGAGUGCCAAAAUAUAGCAGCUCAAAGUUGGCCAAAAUUGAAGACUGUUCGGUCAAUUUUCUAGAUUUGAAGAACAACUUUGGCACAUCAUUUGUAUAUUGAAAUGGUCUUAGAAUAACACCAAACUUGGUACAAUUAAACUCCCAUAUGAGGGCUAUUCCUCUAUGAAAUUUCAUGUAAAAACUCGUACGGGAAGGUAGUUAACAAAACUACCAAAGUUCAAGAAAUUUCCAAGACAAAUCUAUUUUCUUGUUUUCUUUCCCUUUUUCAAACACUUUGCACCAUGAAAUCAGUCCCAUUUUGGUUCAUUUGUGAAACCAAGGUCCAAGAAACAUUUCAUAAACAAUUGGUAGUUGGUUGACAUCAAAAUUCUAAAAUAAAACAUCUCACAAACAACCAAACCAGUCGGCCAGCCCAAAAGAAGGGUUUUCCAGUUUUGUUGCAGUUUGGAAAUUGAACCAUAUCUCACUCCAUAAAACUUGGAAUCAAGAAUGGUUGGUGGCGUUGGAAACUAGAAUCAUAAGGCUACAUUUCAUCAGAACAAAUCAUUUUCAAAAUCAAUUCAUAAGUGAGAGAAAAUAGAGCCACGAAAUGCAGCUUCUACCUUUCUCUCGGAUAAGCCAACAGAACAGGGCAGCAAAUUUGCCGACUCACUACGGCUCACUCAUUUCGAACUAGAAAGUGAAUUUUAUACCAUUGGAAAGUUACAAAUGUCUAGUUUCAAAUGCCACAAAUAGAACUCAAUUUUGAUGUCUGUACAAAGAGAUAUGUUCGUUCAAAGAGACACUGUUCAAGCUGCCAGAACACAUUUCCAGAUUUCUUUACAUUUCGAAAUUUCAAGUUUUACUCAACCAAUUCAAAUGAUUUUUGGUAGAAACUUUCUACACACCAUAUACAGCAUAUAUAUUAGUUUCAAAGUCAUUUGAGCAUCAAAAAUUUGAAGUAACGGCAUGGUAAUAACAGGACAGAUUUCGGCCAGCAUUCCUAUGCAAUUUCCUUCGAUCUUUCCUUCAAUUUCUAACCUUAACACUCAUACCAACACAUUAACACACAUUAAAACAUCAUGGCAGUCCUAUAUAACCAAGGUGAGAGUUCAUAGAGCCCACUUCAAUCAAUCCAAUCCAAAUAACAACAACAACAAGGACGCUACAAGCUUCAUAGCCAAGAAUGAAACUCUUUAGAACCAAAGAAAUGAAAGAUUGGAUGAGUUGAGGUGUACACCUCUUGAACUCUUGAAGAACCAGAAAUUUUGAUCACAAAAGCUCUCACCAAGCUAGAGUUGCUCUCCAAGUGAUAUGUGAGUUGUGUGGAAAAUUUGAGGUGAAAUGGAAGCAAAAAUGGUAGUGAAAUGGAAAGAGCUCUUCUUCUUCUUCCUUGGAGUGUUUGGCCGGCUAUGGAAGGUAAAGAGAGAGAGUGUGGCUGAUGAAUGAAGCUUCCUUUGGAAGCUUAAGGGUUUUGUGGUUACAAUUUGUACAAAAGUCAACCAUGAAUAGUGUUCACGCGCGCGCGUUUCGUAUCCAUUUUCUCUUGGAUUUGUUUCACUUGUGCACUAAACCUCCAAUGUAAUUCCUUUAACACUAUAAUUAUUCAUCCUUAGUAGUCUAGAAUAAAUUUCUUAAAUCUCUAUUGUGACAGCCCCACCUUCCCCUAAGGCGAACCUAGAGGUGUCAAAAUGGGUGACUUGGGCGGGUUUGGGUUGGGUAAAAUGGGUAAUGGGUAUAAGUGGGUCAACUCAUUUAUACUCAUUUAAUUAGAUGGGUAUAAAUGGGUAAGUCAAAAAAUGAAUUGGGUAACCCAAUUACCCAUUUAUAACCCAUUUAUUUUAACUUUUUGUAAACUCAUUUAAAUUCAUUUUUGCAAACUAAGUUAUCAAUUUAUACCACUCUUUGUACCCAUCAUUAGUUUUAAAUAUUUAUUUAUAAUGUUCAAUAAACUUAAUUACCAAUUUUUUUUCAUUUAUACUCUAUGUCACAAAAUUACCUAUUAUUUAAUAAUUGAAUAAUAAGAAUAUAAAAAUUUGAACUAAGUACUAUAAAAAUUAAUAUAAAAACUUAAUCCAAAAAUUUUGAACCCUAACAUUUUUUUCAUAUAUAAAUUUAAAUUUUCAUUUUAGAAAGAUAAGAAAAUAGGCUAAAAUUUAUCAUAAAUUAGUAAUGCUGAAAAAUGAGCAAGUUAACAAACUAAGAGAAAAUAAAAUAAUAAGACAAAACCAACAAAUAAUGAUAAUAAUGAAACAAAAGUAGUUAACAUCAUGACAAAAUGAAAAAUUUGAAAAAAAAAAUGGGUGGGGGAAAAGAAGAGACUUGGGGGGAAGAGAAUUCUAAAUAGAUUAAUUGGGUUUGAUGGGUUACCCAAUAAUACCCAUUUAUUAAGAUACCCAUACCCAUCUAUUCAUGGGCGGGUAUGGGUAAAUUUAAUUAAGUGGGUUGAUUUGCCACCUCUAGGCGAACCAAAGGGUUCGGCGGACUGCCUGCCCAGUUCUCGUCGGGACUACAGAAACAAAUCACACAAACCCUGCAUAACGCGCGAAAAACCCAAAAGAAAACAAACAAUCGGAGACCACCAGGCCAAAAUAUAACUUACCAAACCAUAUGGUGAAAUGAGACAUCGAUUAAACACUUCAAUUAAAAGGAAGCCGGAACUGAAAACGAAACGAAAAGUGGUCCACGUCACAAUCCGGCCGGAUUCACAGCCGGAUUCAAGGUAGUAGCGAAACCAAUUUUUUUUUCAACUUUCCCUGCCAAUCCGGCCAAGAACUGGCCGGAUAUACGGCCAGAUUCGGUGAACAGUUUCCUGCCAAAAUUUUCUUUUCUCAAUCAAAUCCCACACUCGUUCGAAUCCACAACGGAUACAAGUAAAGUUAAUAUAAACCCAUCAAAUGUACAUUCACCAACAAAUACACGAGAGAGACAUGAAUAAACACUUUUAAACACACGUUGGAACUUUACAAGUCAAAGUGUGAUACUAGAUCAAAAUAUAAUUAGGGUUUUUCUAUUACAAAGGAGCUUAACAAAAGAACGUUUACACUAGCUCGACCCUUUCUUCCAAAAAUCAUGAUUUCAUAGUUUGCCCCUGUAAGGAAAAUAAAGAUAACGUGAAGGGGGUGAGCUUACGCUCAAUGAGAUACCAAAAUUCUAGUAGUCAAGAAUCAUGGCAUUUCACGUUUAAUCAGUCAGAUACACAUACCAGAUAUAAAGUAAAGCAGUUAAACACAGUGAUUCACAUAGGAAGGAUACGGGUGGCUCUCAGGAGCUAGAUUCCCGUUGCAGUACUAUAUCUUGAUCAAGUAGUAGUUGACACUCCGUCAACUUUCAAGUAAAAUAACUAGUUCAGUAGAGCACCACUUAACACCAAAUUCCGUCCACCAAACAUACCCCUUACCGGGCCCGAACACCUCAACAGGAACAGGAAUGGUAAUACUCGAGUAUACCGGAAAUCUAGAAUCUCCAAUACCCAUAGAUUUCCCAGGAACAAGCACCCACGGAUUGUCAAUUUCCUCGACCAAGCCCUUGCUAGCUCGAUUCAAUUAACUCCCCAUGAGGUUGAGCUCAGGUUUAACAGGAAGGUCGUUGGAUACACUUCCAAACGACAUUAUAACAAGCACAGGUAACUGAUUCAAGCUCAUAACAGGUACAAGUAACAGAUUCCAGUUUGUACAGUAAACAGUCACAUAGGCCAGAGAACGAGUGUGAUAAAGUACACUCUCAUCUCAUUUAGAAUAAACAGAGUUCAUAGUCAUUCAUGUCACAGAUUUCAAGUACAGAUGACCCAAUUAAGCAACAAUUCAGGGGAGUGGUACACUCACCAGUUCAAGCAAAGAUAACUUCACAAGUUUUCACCCAAAGUAGUGUUUUGAUCACCGUGAAACCCUAAAAUUAACCAAGGUAAAACAAUUGAGGUUUCGACAUCCAAAACCUAGUAAACGGAAUGUACAAGUGAGGCUCGACUACGAGUCAUAUGCCUAUUCAAAUGAACUACAAAUGCAAAGAGAUAAAAUGUGACUUUUGAGUGAAAAGGUAAUAGUUGGUCCUAGGGACAUGAACGACCUCAAAGCCCUUCACCUCUUCCCAAAACCCUACCUACAAUGGUUUACCGUUUCCAAAUUUGAAGUGGAAAAUGAAAGUAAGACCAGUUCUAGGAAAAUAGAAUUUUCCAGUUUUGCACAACACUAUUUGAAAAAUCAUAUCUCAAGCUUCUUAAGUCCAAAAUUGAUAAAAUUUAUACCAUUGGAAAAUAGAUUCAAAGAUUUACAACUUUCUAGAAGACACUAUUGUAAGAUUCAGAAAACAAGUCAGUCAUAUUCAAGCCUCAAGUUGUCGCUUCAUCCAGCAAAAGACAGAACAGGUAUGCAAUUUCAGUUAACUUUGAAAAAUCGCAGAUAUUCAUAGGAAUUAAGAAAAAUCAUGAAAUUUGGACGGUAGAAAGUACUCUGAAUCUAGUUUCAAACCAACAAACGGAACUCGAUUCUGACUUUUCUACAUCAAGAUAUGGUAGAUUUCCCAAGACUGCUCAAGGGUUCCUGUAGAAAAAUUUCAACAGCACCUCCCUCUAAAAUCUCUAUUUUUCCCUCCUACAAACAACCACCAAUAUCAUCUCAAUUGCACAUACAAAUUACAAGUCAUUAAACACACUCUUUUAGGGCCAUAACACCCUUAAUAUAAAGCCAAUUAAUAGCUCCAACAUCAACCAUCUUCAAGGCCAAAUUCGAAACCCUAAAUCUGAAAUUUAAGUACAUAAACUGGAAAUUUCUUUAGGCAAGUUAAUCUACUCCAUAAUCCUUCAAUCUUUCAUAUAGCAAACUAGCAAAAUAUGGCCAACCCUCAAUCAUUACAUGUGAGUAGAAAUUACAUCAUAAAAACUGGAAAGUUCUAUAUCAUCACCUCAAAUCACAAUAUUUCUCAUAAAAUCACAAAUAUUGUAACCCUAAACCACAAAUAUCCUAUUUUUAGAUGUAAAGAGGGAUUUCUUAGCAAAUUUACCUUGUAACCUCAAGAAAAAAUGGUAGCUUAGACUUCUUCCUCCCAAAUUAACUCCACCAACACCUCUCCUCUACCUUAGUGAAUGCUUGUAUGGAGUGGUUUGCAAAGUUGUUGGCCAAAACUCAAGAUUCAAGCAAUUUUGGAAGUUGGAAAUGCAGUUUUCCUCUCUUGGUUUUUCUCUCAAAUGGCCGGCCAAGCAUGAAGAAAAAUGAGAGGAAUUUUGGUUUUAGUAAAGUAAGAAGGUCUUGGUCAAAAGUCCAACAUCCAAUGGCAUCAUGACACUUGGCCUUUCUUAAGUUUAAUCUCAUCCUUUGGUCUACCAAUGGUUCAUCUAUCUAGGUAACCUCUAAUUAUCUCCUAGCACCUUGUAAAAUAAUAUCCCUUUACACAAAAAAUCACCUAGUCACCAAAAUUUUAUCGUACUUACCGCACUAGCGGGUCCCACGUCUAUAAUACACUUCAAACUUAACAUGAACCGACCAUACCAGGAAAAUGAUUUGAAAAACUAUAUUCACUUAUAAAAAUGUAUAUAAAGUUAAUAUAUUGAAGGAAAGUAUAAAAUUGUAGAUAAGGAAAUAAAAUAAUGUCUAGAAAAUAUAAAAAUUUUCGGGUUCUCACAUCCAUUGGGUCGAUUUGACGCGAAAAAUGCGAACUUCCGAUUCGCGCGCGAUAAAGCGAAACUUAAAAGAAAUUGUUGUAACGAUAAUAUAAGUAACUAAUACUAGGGUAAAUAAUCAUAAAAAUAACUAUUUUAUAAAUAAAAACAUGAGUCCUCACACGAGUCUAGUAUUAAUUCCUCAAAUCUCCAAUUAAUUUGUAUCCGCGCGUCUUUCGGAAAGCUAUCGACGCGCGAGCGGUAUAAGAUUAAUUUUAACUCACUCACAUCUAAUCUCUCAAUUAACUUUUCUUAGUCUACUAUUGAUCAUUCUUAAUUUUCCAAGAUUAUUGCACUCUCGAAUCGAAUUUUGUCUCGAAAAAUGUGUACUCGUUAUUCCUUACUAAACGAGCCUCCGAAAAAUAAAUUUUGCUAAUGAAACGUUUUAAAAAUAUGAGUAGGGCAUUGUUCCAUGUAAAUGGAUGUAAAAUGACUGAAUUAAAUUAUUCGGAGAAAAUGGGUGAAUAAAUAAUUAAAUAAGCCAGUAAAAUAAGAAAAUUUUCGGGUCCUCACAUCAUUUCUGUUAAUUUUAACUAAUUCUGUCAACUUUACAAUUUAGUGUAAAGCAUGAGGUGUCGUUUUGUACAUUUCGAAAUCACGGGGGGCUUUUCUGUAUAUUAGAUUACCAUAAGGGGCUUUUUAUUAUUUACCCAUCUUGUAAUUGAAUAUUUAACCGUCAAGUUGUUCUCUUCGAGAUUUAAAAUCAUCAAUUAAAUUAAGUUGCCAAUUGAAAGUGUGCAUGCCCUAAAGUUAAUCUACUUUUAGGGUUUAAUAUGGACUUGAACUAUUUAUGUUAUUAUAAAUGACAUCUUUAUCAAAUUGAUUGCAAAUAUAGUUAUAUUUGUAUGACAAAACAAUUAGAAUAAACGUGAUCAAUGAAAUUAUAGGAGUGAUGAUGAUGAGGUUCAUUCGAUUAUAGAUAAGAUUUAAUCUUAAAUAUUUCUAGUCAAAGUAUUAAUAUGGUGAGAUUACUAUAUACUAUGGCGCUUUUAUAUGAGAAGUAGUAGAACUCAUCUACUAUGGUGUGUGAGACACCUAAACUAGUUUAUGGGUGCUUGAUAAGAUGAUUAAGUUUACUAAAUUGAUCUGAAUAGAGAUAUCCUUUGAGUGCCAAAGGACUAAUCUCUAAGUGAUAUUUGUAUAAGUGAUCCUUAGAUUUAAAGUUAUCAUGGUAUCUUGAGUACGGAUGAUUAUACUUUAUUUGCUAUAUAAUUGCUCCCGUAACAGGAAAUGCUCACACCAUUAGCUUAUGGGUAUAUAUUUGAAGUAUGGAAAUAUAGUAAAUAACCUAUAACGAUUUACUACCUCUGAUGAAUGUCUAACCACUUGUAGAAGUAUAAUUCGGAAUUUUUAACGCUAAGUGAAAGAGUCUUAAAAGGUGUUUUUAAGUACUUCUUCAAUGGAAUUAUAUUUUAGUACAAUAAAUGAACAUUAAUCACAUAUUGCAAAAGACACAAUUUAUUCCAAAAUUAAUGUAAAAUAAGUGUGGUAAAAGGAUAUUAAUUACAUGAUAGAUGUUCACUAAAGAUGAAGUCAUCCACUUGACUUUUCUCAUUACUUGGGUGGUCAUGAUGUAUUGUUAGAUAUCAAUCUUGAUAUAUAAGAAUGACUUGAUUGAUUAAUGAAAUCAAUGAUAAAUUAAAAGGAGUUUUAAUUUAUCUAAUUCUUUCUUAUUAAGAAUUAUAACUCAUACUUAUUGCCAACAUAUAUGAGAACCUAAUGGGUCACACACAUUAAUAACUUCUUUAGUUGGAUUAAAUGAAUUUCAAGUAGGGAGUUGAUAGAUUAGUUAUAUAACUUAUAGUUUAAUUUGUGAGAUAAAUUAAAUUUGAGCGACUUAGAGUGCAAAUAAGUUCAAGUCUUUGAAAUACAAAUGAUGUAUUAGAAUAAGGAAGCUGAAUUCUAUUGGAAAUUGGUUUUAGUUUUCCAUAAGAAUAUGGACACCUUGUUUGUCUAUAAAUACUCACUAAACUUUUGCUAGCAAAACUAAUCAACACACAAAUUGCCUUGUUAGAUUUUUGAGAAAAAUCUUGAGAGAAAAAAUGCCCAAAAUUCAUCCAAGAAAUAAGAAAAAAAUCACAUCCUAUUUUUCUCUUAUUGGGGAAAGUUUUUCACAGUGAAAAAUUAGGAUUUGUCUCAACGAAUUUGUGGGAGGUGUCAUGAUAGUAGCUAGCACUAAUCUUGGUUCAGCUAAGGAGGUUGUAGAUAAUUCGACCUAAGGAGGUUCUAACUAAAGAGGUUUGAGUGAAUCACCGUUAGAAAUCAGAUCGCUGUGUAGCUACGUGGAUCACUUUGACCCCCUUUGUGUCAAAUCUCUACCGAUUCAAGAAGAUUUUCAUGGAUUGAGAUAAUUUUCUUGGAUAACAUUAUAUUACAUUGAUUUAAUCAAUGGUCGAUAAAGGAGUCAGAAAUUUGAAAAUUUUCACUGUGUAUGUCUCUAUGAUUCCCUACAGUGGUAUCAGAGCCAAUUUUGAUUAAACUAUGAGACAGAUUUAUUUAAUUGUCAUGAAUGUGAUUAGAUCACAAUUAUAUACUAUUCUUGAAGUUGGCUUAAGUUUUAUAUGAACAAAGUUGGUUGAAAAAUAUUCUAGAAUCGUUCCUGAAUAUUUUCGUGGCCUUUUAAUUUGAAAGUCAUCAAUCAACUGAGCAAAGUCCCGUUGCUGUUUUAUUGUGUGAGAUGAUCACUAAAAGGAAAAAAUAAAAUAGAAAGGGGAAAAGGAAAAAUAAGAUGGCAUCUUGGUUUGUCAUGAUAAAUCUCGCGGGACGGCAAUUGCAUGUCAAUGGGGGAAACCAUGUGAUCAUUUUGUAUCUAGGAAUGGCAACAAGGUGGGGUCCCGCUGUCCACUAGUCCCCUGGCUCCCACAUCGCCCUGCUUUCCCUGUGGGGACAUCCACGGAGGCUAAAAUAAAAAUUUGUCCUAUAAUUGCAUUAUAGCUAAAUUUUAAAGAAAAAUUAAGUACUUAAAUACCAACACAUCAUCACGUCAUUAUCCACUAUAAUUUCUCAAUUGAAAUUCAUAAAAAUAAUCAAAUAAAAACUAUUUAAAUACAAUCCAACAUGAUGAGAUAAUUACAAUUAAUGUAGUCAAUUUUCACUUUUGAAACAAAUACAAUCACCAAAUCAUUAUUGUGUGCUUCUUUUGAGAAAAAAACAUUAUUAUGUUAAGUGUAAUUAAAAAUUUAGUAUAAAAGUAUUAGUAAAUUUAGCAUAACUAAUUAAUAAUUUUUAUUAUUAGACAUUGUAAUUAUUAGUAUAACUGAUAAUAUUUAUUAUAUUAUUUAACUGGGGAAAGAAUUCCCCCCAUCCCGCCCCAUUAGCCCCUGCAGGUACCCGCCCCAAUUGCCAUCCCUAUUUGUAUCGCUGCGGGUUUUAUGUAUACAAUAUGGCCAAGGUAAAUGCUAUGUUUAUUCUUCCUCCACAUAACUAGUCUUGUGAUUGAGAUCUUGUGGAUCAAAUUGGAAACUAAUCAAUAAAAAGAGACAUGUUGUUCUGGCUGAUUGUGAAGACCACGGAUUAGUCACUGGGAGGUGAUUAAUCAUAAUUUAUCAUGGUCAAGUUAAACGAUGUAUUCUUUUUGUAUCAAUUAGAUUGUUGCAUGAGUUUCCUUUGUAGUGGUUGUUGUUUAACCAUCAAAUAAUAAGAAGAAACAUGUCUGGUUGAUUAAGAUCAGCCUAUGAAAGUCAGAAAAAAGCAGCGAGAAUAUGCUGUUGGAAAUUGUAUUAAAAAUGCAGAUUUUCAGUAGUUUACAUCAAUUUUUCAGCGGCUGUUUUGUUGCGUUUUUCACUCUUCAUUACUUCAAAUUCUAGCCAUAAGAUGGUGAUGAACAUGAAGGCUUUGAUUGGUUAAUUGUUGUUUAAAACUUUUCUAGAAAAAGGAAAUUCAAGAAACAAGUUAGAUUCGAAUGACAAAUAGGAUUUGGUCAUUGAUUUCCAUUUUUGUAUAGGUUUCUAAGAUAACAUAAAAAUUUCUUAUAAUUCUAAUAUGAUUAGAAUUAAGUUAUUUGCUGGAAAUUUUCUAGAAAAAGGAUAGAUAGGUAACUAGUCAAUUUCCUAUGACAAAAAUGUUUAGUCAUUCGUUUCCAUUUUGUGUUUAGUUUUCUAAACUAACAUGGAAAGUUCUUAUAUUUCUAAUAUAAUUAGAAUUAUGGUAUUUUUCUUACAAUUUUAGAAAUUUAAAUUGGACAAGAAGUUGUUUGAUUAAAUAUGGAAACUUUCUAAUUUCUAGUGAGACUAAAAUUAAGAAAGUGAAACCAACUUUGGAAACUUCCAAAUUUGAUGAGAUUAAAUUUGGUAAGUAUUCAAAUACUUUUAGAAACUUUCUAGUUUAAUGAGAUUAAAUUAGGAAAGUGCUCUAAAGUUAGUAUUUGAAAUUUUAAAGUUGUUUGAAGGAAAAUUUCCAAACCUAAGUGAACUAGGAAAUUCUAGUUGGACUAGAAAAUUCUAAUUUUGACUUGGGCUUGUAAUUGGAUUAUGACAAACUUUUGUUCGUGGUUUUAAAAUAUUGAAAAUUUUUCUAAUGAGAUUAUAAAGUGUUUUUGCAUUAUUUUAAAAUAAAUAAAAGAGAAACUUCAAGAGUUGAAACUUUAAAUGGUUUAAGGUUUGAGCAUAUAAUGAUUCAUUAUUAGAAUUAAAUAAAUAUUUUAUUAUGCUUUCACUUAAUAUUAUGUUAUGUGAAUGUAUGAUAGAUGGUUAUGGAUUCAAAUCAAUGUGAUUGUGAAUGUUGAAUGUAUGUAUGGUUUGUUUUUUUUUUUUUUUCCAAACCAGACUUUUAUUCCUUGGAAAAGAGCUGACGUAGGAACAUGGCUAAAAGGUAGUGAAAACAGGGAGUACUACUCCCUUACACGCAUGAGACGAAAAUACGGGAAAUGCUGAGUAUCCAAGGCCGAGAUGCCCUUCACUCGUGGUGGCAAACUAGUUGCGUCGUAAGUGGCUGAUUGGUGGCUUGUAGCUACUUCCUUUGCCAGAAUGUCCGCCGCGGCAUUAAGCUCCCUGUAGCAAUGCUCCAAGAUGAAAUUUGCAGUGGAUAGAACUUGGCGUCUUUGGCGGAUGAUGGUGUCGAUCUUCCAGGGCACCCCUGAAGUUUGUUGCACUAUGGUAAGCAAUUGUUUGGAGUGUGAGGACCCGAAAUUUUCAUAUUUUAUUUUAUUUUUCUGGCUUAAUUAAUUAUUUACUCACCCGUUUUCUCUGAAUAAUUUAUUUCAAUCAUUUUAAACUUAUUUACAUGGAAUAAUGUCUCAAUUAUAUUUUUAACACGUCUAGUUAGUAAAAUUAAUUUUUCUAGAGCUCGUUUGGCGAGAAAUAAGGAGUACACGUUUUUUGAGGCUAUGUUCAAUCCGAGAGUACAUUAGUCUUGGAGAAUUAAGAAUGAUCAAUAGUAGAUUUAGAAAAGUUAAAUGAGAGAUUAGAUGUGAGUAAGUUAAAAAAAUUAAGCUUAUACCGUGCGCGCGUCGAAAGUUUUUCGAAAGACGUGCUGGUACAAAUUAAUUGGAGAUUUGAGGAAUUAAUACUAGACUCAUGUGAGGACUCAUGUUUUUAUUUCUAAAAUAGUUAUUUUCAUGAUUAUUUACCAUAGUAUUAGUUAGUUAUAUCAUUGUUACAAGAAUUUCUUAGAAAUUUCACUUUAUCGCGCACAAGUCGGAAGUUCGCGUUUUCACGCGCGCGACUAAUUGGAGGAUUUUAGAACUUGUUGUUAGACUACAAAGAGUGGAUAAUAAUAGUGUUAAAGGAAGUGCAUUAGAGGUUUAGUGCACAAGUGAAACAAACCCGACAGGAAACGGGCACGAAACGCGCGCGUACGCGUACUAUUGGAGAGUUGACUUUUGAGCACUUAAACCUCACACCUACCAAACUUCCUGAAGAAGCUAAACAACACUCUCUACUCUCUCUUUUCUCUCUCAAGACAGCCGGCCACACCAAGGAGGAAGAAGACCCAAAACUUCUUCAUCAUCUCACUCAAUCUUGCACCAAAUCACUUCAAAUUCAUAUCACAACUUGCAAACAACUUGGAGAUCAUCUUGGACUAGGAGAGGAGCUUCAUUUCCAUGGUUUCUUGGAGCUUCUUAGUAGCCAAAAUUCUGGUCUUCAACAUCCAAGAAGGUAGCAAAUCAUCCAACCUUUGAAACUUGAUUUUUGUGAGUUAGAUUGGACUUGGAAGCUUGUAGCUUCAUGUGGGUAACUUUGGUUGGUUGAAAAUCACUUGAGUGUUCUCUAUGAAAUCCCACAAUGGAUAUGUUGGACUGAUAUGAUGAUUUUGGGUGUUAUUUAUGUUUAUUAAGUGUUAAACUAGUGGAUAUAAGUUGAAAAAUUGGAAAGAAAAUCAAAGGAAAGUUGAAAGCUAAGAAGGGCCGAUUCUGCCCUGUUUUUGCAGAGCACUUGCUGCGAUUUUUUUGCGAUUAAAUUUCUUUGAUUUUGAUGUAGAUAUGUCGUAUAGGUUGUGUGGAAAGUUUCCACCAAAAAUCACUUGAUUUGGUUGGGUAAAAGUUGCAUAUUCGAAACAUGUUCAAACCUGGAAAACGUGUACAGAGGUACUCUGGCAGCGAACUUUGAACGAUCAUAACUCCUUGCUCCAAUGUCAAAAUCGAUUUCCGUUUCCGGCAUUUGAAACUAGACACUUCCAGUUUUCUAACGGUAUAAAAUGCAUCCCUUGAUUCGACUUGAGUGAGCGGUACCAGUUCUUCAAAUUUACCUAUCCUGUUUCACUCCUGUGCUAGAGAGUCAAUGAUGUGCUGGGAAUUGUUGCUUGAAUUUGAGCUAGCUAUGGACUGAAUUUCAAAAUGAUUUCUUCUGAUGAAUUGUAACCUUAUGAAUGUAGUUUUCAAGGCCACCAACCAUGCUUAAUUUAAAGUUGAAUUGACUGAGUUAUGGCCAAAUUACAGAACUGCACUAGUGAUAGAAAACCCUAGUUUUGGCUAGCCGAAUGGCUUAGCUAGAUUUGGGACUUGUUAUUUUCAAACCUUUGGUGUUAAUCACCUACCAAAUGUAUUUUGGAUGUUUCUUAGAUAUUUCCUUCAUAAAUGAACCAUGUUUGAGAUGAUUUCAUUGGCAAAAGGUUCGAAAAAAGGAAAACGGUAACUUAAGGCAGAAUUGCCUUGUAUAUUCCUAGAACUUUAGUGGUCUUGUUAACUGACUUCCCGUACAAAUUUUUGCAUGAAAUUUGACAGAGGAGUAGCCCUUAUUUGGUAGUGUAAUCAUACCAAAUUAGGUAGUGUGUACUUUAUCUCACUCGACUUACUAAAAUGACAGAUUUUUGCCGUCAACCGAGAACUAUUACCGUUUACCGUUUACUGAUUUACUUGAUUACUUGUGCAUGUUGUAAGCUCUAAGCUGAACUGGGCCCUGCCCUUGGUUACUAACCUGCUCGAGCCAGGACUGGGAUCGGUCGGGUAGGUUGGAACCCUGGGACACCGUUUCGGUAUACUCGAGUAUUACCACUGGAGGGAUAAGGUGAUGGUCAGACAAACCGAGGGGAUCUGGAGUUAUAAGGUGAAGUUGACCGAAACGGUUCCACUGGAACACCGUAUCCUUCAACAUGUGUUUAUUUCUGUAUCAUGAUAACUGCCUUAAUGUAAAUGUGCCAAUGUGAAAUCUUGAACCGUAUAUGUAUCAUGCUUAACUUACAUGAUUUAUUAGAACUGCUAGAGUGUUUUGGGACCUCACUGGGUUGUUUAGCUCAUUCCACGUUUUUGUUUUCCUUAACAGGGUUUGAGACCAAGAGUGCUCGUGAAUAGUACUAGAUUGUUUUCUUUUGAAGACCUUAAGUUAUAUUAUAACGGAUGGCUGUAGUACAUAUUCUUUUGGGUUGUAUUUAAGCUUUAAGGUUAACUUGUUGUAUUCUGGAGUAUUUUAAAUGUAUAUUGAAAUUAUUCGAAGAAUUUCUAGAUUUGUAUUAUGGAUUGUAGUGAGUCACGACGAGAGCUGGCAAGCAUUCCGCGGAUACCCUAGGGUUCGCCCUAGGGAGAAAUGGGGGCGUCACAUGGAGUCCACCUGCACUAUCAGUUACGGCAACCCCAGAGUGUGAGGACCCAAAAAAAAAAUUUCUUAUUUUUAUUGAAUAUUGUUGGUUUAUUUAAAUAUUUAUUCACCUGUUUUCUCCAAAUAAUUUAUUUCAACCAUUUUAAGUUCAUUCAUAUGGAACAAUGUCUUCCUUAUGUUUUUAAAACGUCCCGUUAGCAAAUUUAAUUUUUGGAGGUUCGUUUAAGUGAGAAAUAAUGAGUAUAUGUGUUUCGAGGUGAUAUUCUAUUCGAGAGUGUAAUUAUCUUGGGAAAAUUAAGAAUGAUCAAUAGUAGAUUAAGAAAAGUUAAUUGAGAAAUUAAAGGUGAAUAAGUUCUAAUUAAGUGCUUACCGCUCGCGUGUCGAUAGUUUUCCGAAAGACGCGCUGAUGCAAAUUUAUUGGAGAUUUGAGGAAGUAAUACUAGAUUCAUGCGAGAACUCACAAAUUUUCCUAUUUUAAACCCCUUUUACUAGCCCAUUUAAAUAUUUAAAUGCCCGUUCACUCCGAAUAUUUUAUUCUAACCUUUUUGGACCUAAUUACAUGGAACUAUAGCUUACUUAUAUUUUUAAAGUGACUUGUUUCAAAAAUUAAUUUUUUGGAAGCUCGUUAGGUGAGAAUAGUGAAUGCGCGUUUAGAAGCAAUAACCGAUUUGAGAGUACAAUGAGAUUGGAAAAUUGGAGACUUGUACAUUAGUUUUAAAAUAGAUAUUUUUAUGUUUAAGUUUUCAAGUGUUAGUUAGUUAUACUAUCGUUAUAAGAAUUUCUUGAAAAUUCUACUUCAUCGUGCACAAAUCGGAAGUGUGCGUUUUUACGCGCGCGAUUAAUUGAGGGACUUUAGACCUUUAUUUUUAGACCAUUAAGAGUGAAUAAUAAUAGUAUGAAUGCAAGUGCAUUAGAGGUUUAGUGCACUAGUGCAGCAAACUCGAGAGGAAUCGAGCACAAAACGCGGGUGUGCGCGCGGGAGAAAGAGUUGACUUUUGAAUUAAUUAGAGCCACACAUUUUAGCUUAUCUUGGAAGCUUCAUUAGAGCCCAAAACACUCUUUUUUUUGCUCCAUUCCAGCCGUGCAUAUCAAGAAGAAAAGAACCAAAUUUCUCCUCCAAGUUCUUCUUCAUUUCAUCACUAAAUUUCCACCAAAUCACCUCAAACUUUAACCACACUUUGCAAUCUACUUGGAGAGCAACUCAAGCUACAAAAAGAGCUUCAAAUCCAUGGUUUUUCUUGAGCAAGGAGGACCGAAAUUUCUGCCUUAAUCAUCUAAGAAAGUAAGUGACGAUCAACCUUGCAAAUCUUGACUUAUGGAAGUUGUUUAGCACUUAUGAGUUCAUAAUUUCUUAUGGGUAGCUUUAAAUUGUUGGAAAAUUGGUGAGUGGGCUCUAUGAAGUCCCACUAUGGUUUGAUGGACUGAUUUUGUGAGUUUUGAUGUUAAUAAUGUUGGAUUAGUGCUUAAAUUAGUAGAAAUGAGUGAUAUUAUGGAUGAAAGCUCAAAGGAAGUGAAGGGGAGAAUUUUUCCAUUUCUGCCCCUGUGAAUGCCGUGACCUUUAGAGCAUUUUUUUGAAGUUCUAUUGACUUUUUUAUGAUGUAUAUAUGUUGUAUGGGUUGUGUGGAAAGUUUCCACAAAAAAUUACGUGAUUUGGUUGGCCAAAUAUGGUGAUUUCAAAAGUUCAUUCAAAACUGGAAUUUUUCCCGUAUUGCACUGGCAGUGUUUUUCAAACAGCUAUAACUUUUUGCUCCGAUGUCAAAAUUCAUUUCCGUUUCUGGCACUGGAAACUAGACAUUUACAGCUUUCCAAUGGUAUAAAAUUCACAUCCUGAUUCCACUUGAGUGAUCCGAACCAAUCUUGUAAACUUACCUGUUCUGUUUCUCGUUUUACUGGAAGCUCUGUUUUAAGCAGCGAGUUGAUGCCUAAAUAUGAGCUAGUUGUGGACAUAUUUUUAAAACGAUUUCUUCUGAGAAAUUGUAGUUUUAUGAAUCUAGUUUUCAACGCCACUAACCAUGUUCAAUUCUAAGUUGAAUUGAGUGAGUUGUGGCCGAAGAUCGAAAUUGAUUCAGGGAUUGAAAACCCUCUUUUGGCUAGUUGAUGCCUUAACCUUGAGUGGGACUUGUUGUUUCGAAAUUCUUGGUGUUAAUCACCUACCAAACACAUCUUGGAUGCUUCUUAGACAUUGUCUACCUAAAUGAACCAUAUUUGAGAUGUUUUCAUUGGCCGAAUAUUUAGAAAAGGAAAAUUUGCAUACAAAGACAGAUUUGUCUUGGAAAUUCGUGGGACUUUAGUGAUUUUGUUAACCAACUUUCCGUAUGUAUUUUUCUAUGAAAUUUGACAGAGGAAUAGUCUUUAUAUGUUAGUAUGUUAGUGUAAUACUGCUAAUUUUGGUGCCAUUCCGAGUCCGUUUCGAUGUUCAACCAAAGUUCUAACGUUCGUGAAUUAAAUCUGGAAUUUGGCCUAACGGUCUCACUUUUCAGCACCUUUGAGCCGCCAUACUUUGGUGCUCAAAACUCCAAUUCUUGUUCUGCUUGUUUUGUUUUAAACUUUGAUUGUAACUCUAAUUGAGUUUCAAAUUUGAGAGACUAGUUCAAAUUCUGUGAAUUUUUCCGAAUUUCCAAAGUUGGCCAAAAACCAACCCCGAAACUGCCUCGAUAGCCUAAAACAGUAACUUUGAGCCAAAUUUUGAAUGUCUUCCAUUUGGAAUCAUGGAAAAGUGUCUUCAAGCAACUUUUAUUACUUUGGAAGACGUUUCCAACGCUACCAAGUUUUCCAAUUUUGGACUUGUAAAGAGUGAGAUACGAUUUUUCAAAGAUCUAGUAUCAAAGCUGAAAUUUUCGAAACUUAAGGAAAUGGAGUUUUUUUGAAUUCUCCUUUUUCCUUCGAUAUCACAUGAUCGUUUUGUGACAGCCCCACUUUCCCCUAAGGCGUACCAAAGGGGUUCGCGGACUGCCUGCCCAACUCUCGCCAGGACUAACGAGGCAGUUAAAUACGAUCUAAAACGUUCUGGAAGGUAAUAGCGUGCUCAAUCUAUUCAAAAUUGUAAAAUAGCAAAACGAAAAUCAAAACCGCCAAUGCAUAGUGGGUGCCAUGUCAUAUAACUCGGGAAAAUAUUUCCAAACCAAAUAGGAUACAUGAACAGAGUUAAACAGCAUUAUACCCGUACGUUUGUCAUUUUCAACACAAAAGGAAGAUAAUUAAAUCAAAAUAAAUUUAGGAUUUUUCCAACUAUCGAGGAGCUUCACAAAAAUAUAUUAAAACUAGCUCAACUCGUGCUUCAGAACAUCAUAGUCCCCAAAAGUGAUUCCCUGUAAGGAAAACAAAAUUUAAUGGAGUGAGUUUUCGCCCAAUGAGGUACCAUCACGCAAGUAAACAAAAAAUUCACAUAAGCACAAAGUUGCUCAAUCCAAGUACGUUCAAUAAAUGAAUCAACUGGCACCACGUUUCAAUAAAGAUUUCUAAAGGAUACGGUCGGCUCUCAAGAGCCCUUUUCCUCGCUUGCCGUACUUGAUCUCGCCCCGUUGACCCUCCGUCAACGUUUAAGGAGUAACCAAUACCACAGACUCCACUUUCUCCGAUUCCUUCCACCUCACAUACCCCUACCGGGCCCGAACUCCAACCAGUUCAGUAAUGGUAAUACUCGAGUAUACCGGAAUCAAGAGUCUCGUACCCAUCGAUUCCUUAGAAACAGUUCCCCAUGGCUUAUGAAUUUCCUCGACCAAGCCCUUGCUGGCUCGAUUCAAUUGCCCACCAAUGGGGUUGAGCUUAGAAUCAACAGUAUAAGUCAUUGGAUACAUGUCUAAACAACACCAAUUCAAGUAUAAGCAAGACAAUUCAAGUGAUACAGUAAACAGUCAAUUAAGCCAUAGAGUACGAGAGUGGUAAAGUACACCCUCGUCUCAAUCAGUAUCAUCAUUAAACACAAACAUUCCACUCAUACAUCUCAAGUAUAACAAAGCCAAGAAGUAUCAAUCAUGUGAGUAGUACACUCACCACCCAAGCAAAGAGAGUUAUCACAAAUUUCUGUCCGACGAGUGCCUUGUGUCACCAGCAUGCCCUAAAACAUUCAAUAAAACACAAUAAGACUCGAUUACGAGUCAUAAACCAAAUCCACACACUACCAAAAAUAAGGCCCCAUUAGAACGUAUAAGUACAAAAUUAAGCUAGGAAAAGUUCGGAAAUGACAGUUAAGCCCUAAAACCCAAAAACAGAUUUGACGUCGUUUAGCGUAUCGGACACAACCGAAGCUACGCUUGUCGGAUUGGUGUGAAAUUUAUACCGUUUCGAAGCUAAGAUAAAGGGCUACAAUUUUGAAGAACGCUACUCAGUCAAUUUUGUAGUGUAACUAGGUCAAAAUUUCAAUGUACAAAACCAGAAUCUCACCCACAGGUUAGCUAACCGCACUAUGGUUAAAUGACAAUAACUCAGGCUGCCGAAGUCCGAUUGAGGCGUUUCUAGGGGCGUUGGAAAGCUAAGACAUAUAAAUACAACUUCUCUGUUUUGACCAAAGGUUAAAUUAGUACGUAUCAAAAUAAAACGACACGGUCAGAUUGGGUGAAAUGUCAACCCUGUUCACCGACCUCUACCUAUGGCAGUCCGGGUAUUUCUGUCUUUUCACAGGCUAGAGAGCUCGGAUUGAUCUGAAAUUUUACAGGAAAUUAUCAAACAUCAUUUCCUACAACUUUCAUGUUUUAACCUAAGGCUGAAUCGUCCUCCAUAUUGGCUAAAAAAAAUCGGACAGAACAGGGGUAGGCGAAACCCUAACCUGGAAAUUUUGCACCAAACCAGAAUUUUCGCACAAUCAAUCAUAUCCCACAUAUAUCAACUCCAUUUUACACUAUAACUAACCAUCAAUCCAUAACUAACCAAUACUAAACAUAUGAAAACAGAAAAAUCAUGAAUAAAAUAAAAAUCCACCAAUCUCAACCAAAAGUCAUGAAAUCAUCCAUAAAAUCACUUAUUCAACUACUACCAAUCACUAAUUGAACAUUAUCAAGAUCAGAGGAAAGAUUCCUUAACCACUUACCUUGUAAACUCAAGAAAAGAAGCAACUUAACACCUUUGCUUCUCAAACCACUUCACCACUCACCUUAAUUCUACCAAGAGAAAGGUUUUUAUGGAGCAAAUCAAAGUUUUAACGGUUGGUUUGUGAGAUCAAGGCAAGAAAUUGAAGAAAGAAGUUGGAAGUUUUCUCUUCUUUUUCCUCCAAGAAGCUCGGCCAAAAGAGGGAGAAAUAAGAUGAUUUUUUGGUCAAUUUUUGGUUAUGUAAUAAAGGUGAUAAAAUGGUCAAAGUCCAUGUCCAAUGGAAAAGUGCCACCUAGCACCUUUUAGUUCACAAUUAUCCUUUUGUCUCUCCACAUUAAUCCAUUUAUGUAACCUCCAAUUAUCUCUUAGCACCUCGUAAAUUAAUCCCUGUAAUAACCACUUAACCUCAUUGAUCAAAAUUUUAGCGUACUUACCGCACUAGCGGGUCCCACGUCCAAUAUACACUUCUAAAAUCUCAUGAACUAACUUAUACCAAAAAAUGAUUUAAAAACUAUAUUUACUCAUAAAAUUAUAUAAAAAAUUUUCCUAAUCUAGUACAUAUGAAAAACAUGCAAUUCAAUAAAAUAAAACCUAGAAAAUAAGAAAAUUUACGGGCUCUCACACUCUCUCCCCCUUAAAAGAAUUUCGCCCUCGAAAUUUCUCAUCUUGAUUCCCGAAUAGGUCAGGGUAUUUCCUUUGCAUUUCUUCUUCCACCUCCCAGGUAGCCUCCUCUACCCCACGAUUUCUCCACAAUAUCUUUACCAAAGGAAUCUGUUUGUUUCUCAGUUCCUUAACUUUUCGGUCUAGUAACUGUACAGAUUUCUCUUCAUAAGUGAGCGAUUCAUCUAUUUCGAUUUCCUACGGUUGUAAGAUAUGGGAUGGGUACUUCUUAAGCAUCGAGAUGUGGAAGACGUUGUGAAUUCUGGAUAGACUGGACGGUAGUUCAAGGCGAUAGGCUACUUUACCAACCCUUUGGAGAAUCGUAAAAGGUCCGACGAACCUCAGUUGCAAUUUCUUUCCUCUACCUACUGUAAUGCUCCGUAAUGGAGUGAGCUUGAGGAAAACACGGUCUCCAACUUCGAACUCUAAGUCUUUUCUUCGAUUAUCCGCGUAGCUAUUUUGUCGGCUUUGAGCUGUUUGGAGUCUUUGUCGUAUCAACUUGACCUUUUCUCGUGCCUCCUCCAUCCAUGGAAUGGCCAUUGGAUCCAGGAUUUUCCUCUCGCCGACUUCAUCCCAGUAAAUCGGUGACCGGCACUUCCUCCCAUAUGGUGCCUCGUAUGGAGCCAUUUGAAUUGACGAAUGGUAGAUGUUAUUGUACGCAAACUCCACUAAGGUCAUGUGUUGACCCCAGUUACCCCUAAAAUUCAGAAUACAGGUCCUUAACAUGUCCUCAAGAGUUUGGAUUGUUCGCUCCGAUUGUCCAUCCGUCUGAGGGUGAUAGGUGGUGCUUAGGUUGAGUUUAGUCCCUAGAGUCUCCUGAAACUUCUGCCCAAACCUAGAUACGAAACGGGGAUCUCUGUCGGAGACGAUGCUCGUAGGAACGCCAUGUAGCCUUACGAUCUCGUCCAUGUACACCUGAGCCAAUUUUUCCAUGGAAUACUUCAUAUUUACCGGCAAGAAAUGAGCCGAUUUGGUUAAUCGAUCAACGAUUACCCACACGGCAUCGUGUCCUUUUUGGGUUCGCGGCAACCCCGAUAUGAAGUCCAUGGUAACGUUUUCCCACUUCCAUUCGGGUAUCUCAAGAGGUUGUAAUAAGCCUGAUGGUUUUUAAUGCUCCGCCUUGACUUGUUGGCAAACAAGACAUUUCUGCACGUACAAAGCGAUUUCCUUCUUCAUAUUGUCCCACCAAUAUGCUCCUUUUAGGUCUUGAUACAUCUUGCUACUACCCGGAUGGAUCGUAUACUUGGACCGAUGAGCUUCUUCUAAGAUCUCCGUUUUUAACGUUUCAUCUUUAGGUACCACCACUCGGUUUCAGUAUUUUAGAAUACCCUCGGGACUAAAUUUGAAGUCGGUCGAUUCUCUUUUGUUCACCUUUUCUCCCCACUUCUGCACCAUCGAAUCCUCCUUUUGCGCUUCCUUAAUUCGUCCUAGUAGGGUGGAUGUUACUUUAAUAUUACUAAAAACCACCUUAUAACUCCCAAGGCAGGGUUUCCACUCACAAACGGAUUCUAACAAAUCUCAUUCCUUAAUCAUUAACCCUGCUACUUGAGCCUUUCGACUUAAGGCAUCAGCCACCACGUUCGCUUUUCCCGGAUGAUAGUUGAUGGUGCAGUCGUAGUCCUCCAGAAAUUCUAUCCACCGUCGCUGCCUCAUGUUUAAUUCCUUCUGCGAGAAGAGGUAUCUAAGGCUCUUAUGGUCUGAGUACACCUCGAACGUUACCCCGUAUAGAUAAUGCCUCCACUUUUUCAGAGCGAAAACAACCGCGGCUAACUCAAGAUCGUGGGUUGGGUAGUUCUGCUCGUGGGGUUUCAACUUCCUAGAGGCAAAAGAUAUCACAUUCCGGUUUUGCAUCAGCACACAUCCCAGACCUUCCUGCGACUCAUCGGUGUAAACGGUGAACCCGUCUACUCCGUUAGGCAAAGCUAGAACUGGCGCCAUCGUUAAUCUUUUCUUUAACUCUUGAAAACUCGCUUCGCAUUUGGCAUCCCACACAAACCGACCAUGUUUCUUCGUCAGGUCGGUUAAAGGACCGGUCAGUUUGGAAAAGUCUUUAAUGAAACGCCGGUAGUACCCAACUAACCCUAGAAAACUACGAAUCUCCAUGGGGUUCUCUGGCCUCUUCCAAUUAGUCACGGCCUCUACUUUCGCCGGGUCAACCGAAAUGCCUUCUUGGGAAAUUAUGUGCCCUAAAAAGGAAAUUUUCUCCAGCCAAAAUUCGUACUUGCUGAACUUGGCGUACAACUGAUGCUUUCUUAGGGUUUGCAAGACGAUUCUCAAGUGUUGCUCAUGCUCCUCACGCGUCUUGGAGUAAACCAGGAUGUCAUCGAUAAAGACCACGACAAAUCGAUCAAAAUAGGGCUUAAAAAUCCUGUGCAUUAGAUCCAUGAAGGCGGCAGGGGCAUUGGUCACUCCAAAGGGCAUGACCGUGAACUCGUAGUGCCCAUAUCUCGAGUUGAAAGCAGUUUUCGGGAUAUCCUCUUUCCUAAUCAACAACUGGUAAUACCCCCGUCGAAGAUCUAACUUCGAGAAGACCACUGUUCCUUGCAACUGGUCGAACAACUCAUCAAUAUGGGGUAGUGGAUACUUAUUUUUAAUCGUGACAUUGUUCAGCCCCCGGUAGUCUAUACACAUCCGCAGACCCCCGUCCUUCUUCUUCACAAACAGUACAGGGCCCACCCAAGGAGAUCCACUCUCUUGAAUGAACCCCCGCUCCAAAAGAUCUUGUAACUGCAAUUUCAACUCCUUAAGCUCAGCAGGUGCCAUCCGAUACUGGGUUUUUGAGAUAAGUGACGUUCCAGGUAACAAGUCAAUUUUGAACUCUAUCUCUCUCUCUGGAGGUAGGGCUACUAACUCAUCAGGGAAUACAUCUGGAUAUUCCUUCACUAUGUGCACAUCCUCUACCUUCAAUUUAUCGGUGGGGGUAUUGAUUAGAAAGACUAAGAACCCUUGCACGUCUCUACUUAGUAAUUUCCUAGCCCGAAUGCCCGAGAUCAAGGCAGAUGAGGCUAACCUACCCCUUAUAUCCAAUCUUAAGGUUGUCUCACCAGGUAUGCGAAAUUCUACCACCUUCUUUUUACAAUCUAGUUGGGCAUUAUACCUGGCUAGCCAGUCCAUGCCCAAGAUCACGUCAUACCCCUUAAUGGACAGGCUUAUCAAAUCUCCUAACAAUCUCCUCUCUCCUACCCAAACUUCACAAUCCUUAUAAACCAUACUAGUAACCAAACGCUGAUCCCCCGUAGGCGUAUUAACAUCUAGGUCAUAAGGUAAACUAGCAGGUUUUAUAUCAAUGCCACACAUGAAAUUGGGGUUAACAAAGGAAUGGGUGGCACCGGGAUCUACUAAGACCUUUGCAAAGCGGUGGAAUACAGGGAUCGUAUCUUCUACGAUCUCAGAGGAAUCUGGGACCUGUUGAGGCUCUAACGAGUACACUCGGGCCGCUACCUUGGGCUUUAUCCCGUUUCUCUUAACUGGUCCAGUGUUGGUCCUCGGUGGUUGCUGACUUCCCUUUCCAUCUUGUUUUAGGAUUGGGCAGGUGGCAAGCUGAUGGUCUGCGCUUUCGGAACGCAGACACUUUCCCUCCUUCUUCUAGCAGUUGUCCUCAGUGUGGUUUAGCUUUCCGCAAUACUCACAGGGUCCACGGGAUGCCGAACCCGAACCUUUCUGGAAACUUCCUCCCUGGCCUUUCCCAGUCGGGCCAUCCCUAGACUGAGCCCCUCUACCUGCGCCCGUCUGCCUUCCACCUCCGGCUCCCCAUCCGUACUUGGGAGGGGCACUCUUAUCCCUCUGCCCUGAACUGCUCCCAGGAAAGCCUCGCUUCUUUGCCUGGAAGUUUCUCACUUGUAGCCUAGCGUUUUCCACCCGCUGGGCUUUCUCCACGGCCUCGCUAAAAGCAUUAAUUUGGGCCACCGCAAGGUCCUUUGGUAUUUUCACAUUCAGGCCCUGGAUAAAACGCCUUAUCCGCAGUUGCUCGGUCACGAUUAGCUCGGGGGCAAAUUUGGAUAAGCGGGUGAACUGGCUGUCAUACUCCGCUACAGACUGAGCUCCCUGACGAAGCUGAAUAAAUUCAUCUUCCUUCCGUUCCUGAACUAGAGGAGGGAAGAAUUUAGCGUUGAACUCUCGCAUAAAGUUCACCCAGGUCCGGGGCGUUUGCUCCCGUUCCCACUUCUGCCGGAUGACGUUCCACCAGGAAUGGGCCGCCUCUUCCAGUUGAAAGACGGCGAAGGUCACCUGUCUCUCCUUGGUGUAGUACAGGGCAGCAAAAAUAUCCAUCAUUUUCUCUAACCACCUUUCGGCUACAUCUGGAUCGGGACCCCCAAGGAACUUUGAUGGGGCAAAUUUCUGAAAUCUCUCGAGGGCCCUGUCCUCGCUCUCCACAUGGUUGCCAGGGUUUCCCGGGUUAGGAUUAGGGUUUUGAGCCUGUUGCUGCACCACUUGGGUUAGCAAGUUAGUCAUUUGCUGCAUGGCAGCAGCUAUUUGAAUAUUGGGAUCAACCCUAGGUUCAGGGUUUGGUCCAGACGAGGUUUUCCCAGUGCCCCUUACAGACGUGGGUUGCCUACUCCCGCGUCCACGGCCUCGACCACUACGUGUUCCUUCCAUAGAGUUUAGUCGAGUCAAUCUAGGGUACAACGUAAAUAGAAUAUUAAAGAUUACGGUAAACAUAAGUAAGAAACCAGAAGCUAUUCACAAUCAAAAUGUGACACCCCAACUUUUAAGAUGCUAUUGUUUUACGGUUUCUUUAGUUCAUUUUAUUUUAAAACAUUAUUUUGUUUCAGGGAAGAUACUAAAGUUAUUUCUUUGGGUUUGAUUUAAAAUCUUAUUUUGUUUUAAAAUACUAGAAACCCUAAAAUUUUAAUCAAAAACCCUAGUUUACUUGUGACUAUGUUUAAAUCCCUCAUAUUUGACUCAAAACCCUAAUUUUAUUUUAUGGAAUUGUAAAAUUCAUCACACUUUUCUUAAAAUUCCUUUUAUUUGGAAAUUAUUUAUUUAAUAUGAUCCUCCUACUCAAGUACUCCGCAAUAAGUGUAAAUAAACCUAGAAAGUAGGGUUUCACUCUUCGUUUUCAAGAUUGGAGCAAAUUAGGGUUUUCGCGAUUUUUCGCCGGAUGAAAUUUCGGUAUGGAGCAAGGAUCAAAUUUGGUGAUUAAAAAUGACUUUUAAGUGAGAAAUAAUAUGUAAUUAGAAGCAAUGAUACAAGGUUAGUGAAUAGGAAGUAAAAACCCUAGUACGUGUGUUUUUAAGAAAAACGGCGCGAACCGGAUGGUCCCGCGCAUUACCGAUUGAACGCACCACUUGACCACCACUUUCUUCCCAUACAAGUCUAUUGAUAUUUGAGCAAAAUAUCUCCCAAUUUACAGCUAAGCUUGACCGAAAUUUGUGGCUCAAAUGCAAGGAAGGAAAGAGAAAAUUUUUGUGGUUGAGGUUAAGCCAAGUGUUGGCCAAACUUGUGGUUAGAAUUAAUUAUUAUCUUUCUACCUUCUUAUAAGACAAACUUAGCUUAAUCUCCUUCAUUAUUUUCUGCAUCUUGGCCGAGUAAGGAGAGAGAGAAAGGGAGAGCAAGAGUUGCACCAUUUUCUUCUUGAUUUACACCAACCAAGUGCUAAAAUCGAAUUCUAAACCGAUUGAUCGUAAGUUUGGAAGCUUGGGAAGCUAAGGGAACCAAAAAUUUCAAGAAAUAGUGGAGGAUCACUCUUGCAAGCCUUCUUUUUGAGGUAUAAAAUCUGAUCUAUGGCUUUGAUCCUUUUAUUCUUGUUUAAGAUGUUAAAUAGUUCAUGUUUUGGUUAGAUUACAAGUUAUGCAAGUUGAUGUGAUGAUUUUGGAUGAGAUAGGUAAGUUAGGGUUUGAUUAAUUUCUGCCUAUACUUGAUGUAUGAUUGAUAUAUGUUGUAUCCAAAGUUAUAUAGGGGGUUUUGGUAGCAAGUGUAGCAAGAAAUUAAGAAAACUAUCAUUGAAACCAAAAGAUUCCAGAUUUCUGGAAAAUUUUUCCCCUUUCUGUCCGUUUUUGUUGCACCAUGUUAGAGGCCGAAUUGGCCUUAUCUUAAAACAUGAAAGUUGUAUGAAAUGACAUUUUAUAGGUACCUGAAAAAUUUCAGGACAAUCGGAGUAGCGUAGAAUGAGAAAAGUCGAAAUUACCCUUGCUGUCCUGUUUCUACCCGAACCUGAGAACUGCGAUUGUAAUUGGUUAUUUUGGUUUGGAAUGUUUCAGAAUUGGUUGUUUAGGUCUUCUGAUGAAAUGUAUCCCUGUUUCUAAGCUUUUGUAUGGCUUUGGAAUUUCUGGAUUUGGACUUAUGUAGGCUGUUUUAUGAUGUUUGUACUAGAUUACGGUUUGUGAACCUGUUUUGCGAUUCUGGUGUACUAUGUUACAUUUUUGACGUAGUUACACUUGAAAUUUGACUAAGUGGCCUUCUUCAACAUUGUAGCCUCUUAGGUCUUGAAUAUUCCUGUAAAAUUUCGGGUCAAACGGAUUAGUGUAUCAUGAGUUAUAGAUGAAAUACUCAAGCCUGUUUUGAACAUCAGGUUCUGUGCGUUUUUAGUUUAGCUUCUGUCCGUGACUUUUUUCGGUUUUGAUCCCGUACGAUCUGGGUUUUGACUCCUUCAUAAGAAAUGUAGAUCUUGAUUUUGGAUUCGAAACGGUAUAAAGUGCGUCGAAAUCCGAGUUCCGUAGCUCCUGUUAUGACCAAAACAAAAUCGAUCAUCAGAACUGCCUUGAAUCUGGACAGUUCUGACGAGUACUUUGACACUCAAAUUUCGUUCUGUUCUGAGUGGAUUCAGGUCUUGGCCAAAACAUCAAAGUUUUAGCCUUAUGUCUCAGCUUUCUAAUUCAUUUGGAAUUUCCUGAUUUGGAUUUGUGAGCUGGGAGUUAUAGUCCAGCAAACAUACCCUGUCCGUUACUCUGGAGUGCAAAUUCCUGGAACGGUUUUCUGCACUUUCGACCUAUUUAUGUUCAGAUCCGUAUUUAGGUGUCUUCAUGAAAAUUGUAGCCCUUCCUCUUAGCUUCGCAACGGUACUUCAUGAACCUUGAUCCGACACUCAUAGCUUCGAUUAGGUUCAAAACAGUUUUGACGGCAAAAUGGCUAGGCCGCCAUUCCCGUUUCCGUGUGUCGUUUCCGCACUCGUAUGUGCCGAUUUUGCCGUUUUGCUUGUUUUAGGAAUAUUAGUAGCCGUUUAUGAUAUUUUGUGAUGCAAUCUUCUAUUUCAGACGGUGGUGAGCUACGUGGAGCCGGUGGGGCCUACUAGCUACUCUUCGCGGCACAAAUUUUGAAUUUUGCUCUUUUGUUCGUUGUGUAAGUAUUCAGGCCGCUCUUGUGUGUUAGUUGCUUAUGUGUUUCGAUAUGUAUGAAGAGGGUACCUAGGCGAGGGUGUACUUUAUCGCACUCGACCUAAACCUUAACUUGCGCACAUAUUUGUACAUGGCUUGUGUAUAUGAGCAAUUUUGAAACUAAAACCCUUGAGCUUGUGGCUCGGGGUGACUUUUGAAUAAUUUUGUGAAGUUUGUGAGUUUAGGGUUGAUCUUCCGACCUAGAUGGACUAUUCAAGCCGGUCAGGGCUUGGUCGAAGCCAGUCCAACUUAGUCUGAGGUCACCAAGUUUGUGAAUCCGGUUCACCGAGAAUGUGGACCAAGUUUGUGACCCGAGCUUGUGAACCAAGCUCAAGUUUGUGAUUUCGUUCGCUCGAGCAAGUUUGUGAGGUGCCUGGCCAGAGAGGGUGAUAAGGUGUACGGUGGGUGUACAAGUGAAGUUCUACGGACCAUUAUUUGAGGUCGACGGAGUGUCGGCAGGAGGUCACACAUGGCAAACGAUCUGGCUUUGGAGCCACCCGUAUCCUUACUAUGUGAUGUUAUCUUUCUGCUUUUGCUUUACUCUUACCAUAUAAUUGGUUGUUACGUGAAAAUUUACGCUUUUCCUCCUGUUUACUUACUAAGCAUAUAGCUUACCCCGUUCCAUUUGUUUUCCUUAGCAGGGGGACGGCACGGGGAUCGCUCGGGAAGGUGGUUAGAUUUUGAGCUAUAGAAUACUUGAAUUUGUAUUUGUUAAAAGUUGACGAGUAAGAUGUACAUAGUUGGCGUGGUGGUUGUAGUUAUCAGUUUUUCUAGGUUUUACUUUUUGGUACUUGUGAUAUGUAAUUCUUGGAGAAUUGAAUGUAAUAUUUGAGAUUUAUCUUAUACUUCAUUGGAGGACUUUAGUGAGUGAGUGAGUCCCGGCGAGAGCUGGGCAGGCGACCCGCCGAACCCUGGGGUACGCCCUAGGGGAAAGUGGGGCCGUCACACAAAACAUAUUUACAUAUCCCACACAGUGGCAAACAAGUCACAUAUUAACAGUCAGUCGAUUACAAACAAGGAAAUUCCAUGAGGCAACAGAAUCAUCAAAAGAUAUAAUUACAAAGCUAGUCCAAACACACAAAAAUGGCUAGCUAAGGGGUCUUUUCUUCAUCUCCUGUCCCCAUGGAACCAAAAGUAGCUCAAAACGUCCUAGCCUAGUUCCCGACAGAGCCCACAGACUCCCCCCCCUUGGCUAGAACUAGGGGUACUCCCUUCACUAGGCGGGUUAACACUCGGAGCCCCAACUUGCGCGUUGGAGCCAAUCACACCUUGGAUCAGCGCCUCGCACUCAUUAAUAAUGCCGCCAGAGCUGUCCCUAACCUCCCGGACGACAUUAGUAAGACGAUUAUUGACCCCUUGCAACUGCUCCCUAAGAGCUUCGGUUCGUUCUUGCUCCACAGCUAUGUCCUCUCGGAGCUCCCCUAUCCGAUCCGUUUGCAUCCUCAUGAUGCCUCUCAGCCUAAGCAUCUCCGUGUGGUCCCUGGCGACGGCCCGUCUAAGCCUCCUCCGUUCAUCUAGUACCGCCACGACCACGUGGUCCGCAUAAGAGUGACUCUGGCAACGCCUACAGCGACGGGUCCGACUGGCGGUGUACCAGAGCCGGAUCGGACCUCCUGGCCUCUCCUGAUAAUCGAUAACGCGUGGGCGUCUCCUAGGCGGCUCACCUCCACCCGCACCACUGGUUCCGGCCAUAACCUACAAGGAUAGCACUAGGAUUCAUAUCUUAAACAACGUAAACAUAAUCACACCUAAUGGUACCUUAACACUUCCCUCACAGGUCCUAAGGAACAAACUUCAAUCUUGCCUAGGUCACUUCUAACCUAGGCUCUGAUACCACCUGUGACAGCCCCACUUUUCCCUAAGGCGUACCAAAGGGGUUUGCGGACUGCCUGCCCAACUCUCGCCAGGACUAACGAGGCAGUUAAAUACGAUCUAAAACGUUCCAAAAGGUAAUAGCAUGCUAAAUCUAUUCAAAAUUGUAAAAUAGCAAAACGAAAAUCAAAACAGCCAAUACAUAGUGGGUGCCAUGUCAUAUAACUCGGGAAAACAUUUCCAAACCAAAUAGGAUACAUGAACAGAGUUAAACAGCAUUAUACCCAUAGGUUUGUCAUUUUCAACACAAAAGGAAGAUAAUUAAAUCAAAAUACAUUUGGGAUUUUUCCAACUAUCGAGGAGCUUCACAAAAAUAUAUUAAAACUAGCUCAACUCGUGCUUCAGAACAUCAUAGUCCCCAAAAGUGGUUCCCUGUAAGGAAAACAAAAUUUAAUGGAGUGAGCUUUCGCCCAAUGAGGUAUCAUCACGCAAGUAAACAAAAAAUUCACAUAAGCACAAAGUUGCUCAAUCCAAGUACGUUCAAUAAAUGAAUCAACUGGCACCACGUUUCAAUAAAGAUUUCUAAAGGAUACGAUCGGCUCUCAAGAGCCCUUUUCCUCACUUGCCGUACUUGAUCUCGCCCCGUUGACCCUCCGUCAAUGUUUAAGGAGUAACCAAUAUCAUAGACUCCACUUUCUCCGAUUCCUUCCACCUCACAUACCCCUACCGGGCCCAAACUCCAACCAGUUCAGUAAUGGUAAUACUCGAGUAUACCGGAAUCAAGAGUCUCAUACCCAUCGAUUCCUUAGAAACAGUUCCCCAUGGCUUAUCAAUUUCCUCGACCAAGCCCUUGCUGGCUCGAUUCAAUUGACCACCAAUGGGGUUGAGCUCAGAAUCAACAGUAUAAGUCAUUGGAUACACGUCCAAACGACACCAAUUCAAGUAUAAUCAAGACAAUUCAAGUGAUACAGUAAACAGUCAAUUAAGCCAUAGAGUACGAGAGUGGUAAAGUACACCCUCGUCUCAAUCAGUAUCAUCAUUAAACACAAACAUUCCACUCAUACAUCUCAAGUAUAACAAAGCCAAGAAGUAUCAAUCAUGUGAGUAGUACACACACCACCCAAGCAAAGAGAGUUAUCACAAAUUUCUGUCCGACGAGUGCCUUGCGUCACCAGCACGCCCUAAAACAUUCAAUAAAACACAAUAAGACUCGAUUACGAGUCAUAAACCAAAUCCACACACUGCCAAAAAUAAGGCCCCAUUAGAACGUAUAAGUACAAAAUUAAGCUAGGAAAAGUCCGGAAAUGAUAGUUAAGCCCUAAAACCCAAAAACAGAUUUGACGUCGUUUAGCGUAUCGGACACAACCGAAGCUACGCUUGUCGGAUUGGUGUGUAAUUUAUACCGUUUCGAAGCUAAGAUAAAGGGAUACAAUUUUAAAGAAGGCCACUCAGUCCAGUUUGUAGUGUAACUAGGUCAAAAUUUCAAUGUACAAAACCAGAAUCUCACCCACAGGUUAGCUAACCGCACUAUGGUUAAAUGGCAAUAACUCAGGCUACCGAAAUCCGAUUGAGGCGUUUCCUGGGACGUUGGAAAGCUAAGACAUAGAACUAAAACUUCUAUGUUUUGACCAAAGGUUGAAUCAGUACGCAUCAAACUAAACAGACACGGUCAGAUUGGGUGAAAUGUCAACCCUGUUCACCGACCUCUACCUACGGCAGUCCGGGUAUUUCUGUUUUUUCACAAGCUACAGAUCUCGGAUUGAUCUAAAAUUUUACAGGAGACUAUAAAACAUCAUUUUCUACAACUUUAAUGUUUUAACCUAAGGCUGAAUCGGCCUCGAUAUUGGCUAAAAAAAACCGGGCAGAGCAGGGGUAGGCGAACCCUAACCUGGAAAUUUCGCACCAAACCAGAAUUUUCGCACAAUCAAUCAUAUCCCACAUAUAUCAACUCCAUUUUACACAAUAACUAGCCAUCAAUCCAUAACUAACUAACACUAAACAUAUGAAAACAAAAAAAUCAUGAAUAAAAUAAAAAUUCACCAAUCUCAACCAAAAGUCAUGAAAUUAUCCAUAAAAUCACAUAUUCAACUACUACCAAUCACUAAUUGAACAUUAUCAAGAUCAAAGGAAAGAUUCCUUAACCACUUACCUUGUAAACUCAAGAAAAGAAGCAACUUAGCACCUUUGCUUCUCAAAUCACUUCACCACUCACCUUAAUCCGACCAAGAGAAAGGUUUUUAUGGAGCAAAUCAAAUUUUUAACGGUUGGUUUGUGAGAUCAAGGCAAGAAAUUGAAGAAAAAAGUUGGAAGUUUUCUCUUCUUUUUCCUCCAAGAAGCUCGGCCAAAAGAGGGAGAAAUAAGAUGAUUUUUUGGUCAAUUUUUGGUUAUGUAAUAAAGGUGAUAAAAUGGUCAAAGUCCAUGUCCAAUAGAAAAGUGCCACCUAGCACCUUUUAGUUCACAAUUAUCCUUUGGUCUCUCCACAUUAAUCCAUUUAUGUAACCUCCAAUUAUCUCUUAGCAACUCGUAAAUUAAUCCUUGUAUACACCACUUAACCUCAUUGAUCAAAAUUUUAGCGCACUUACCGCACUAGCGGGUCCCACGUCCAAUAUACACUUCUAAAAUCUCAUGAACUAACUUAUACCAGAAAAUGAUUUAAAAACUAUAUUUACUCAUAAAAUUAUAUAGAAAAUUUUCCUAAUCUAUAACAUAUGAAAAACGUGCAAUUCAAUAAAAUAAAACCUAGAAAAUAAGAAAAUUUACGGGCUCUCACACGUUUUACACUUGAAUUUAGAGAUGAAAACCAGAUUUCUCUUGUACUUUAAAACCUCGCCUUUGAGCCUCGAUUUACCAGUAAAUAGGGCUUAUUUUCAUGUGAUUUUCUUAGAUUGUACUCUAGUACAAUCUUCUUCGAUAAUUGGGGUUUAUGAGUGAUAGAUUAUUAUUAAUUGCUCAGGCACGCAAGAGGACCUUCAAGGGGAUCUCACAGGAGACGCUUAACUUAUCGCUUGUACUUGCUACUUGAAUCAUUCGGUGAGUGUCAAGUAUGUGAAAACGUGUUAAUUGCUUUGAGAAUAGAAUAUUUUGAAAAUGCUGAGUCGAGUGUGUACUUUAUCAUACUCGUUCUCAUUUAAGUGAAGUGUACUUGAAUUUCGUGACAUGAAAUACUUGAAUUGCUUGAAGUGACUUGUUAAGUGAAUUUUAGUGAAGUGUUUAAGUGAUUAUUUAUGCUAUGGCUACAUAAGUCGAUGGGAGUGAAUCUCCUCGACUCUUAAGUGUUAAGUGGGGGAUGCCCAAAUCUCACUGGCUAACCUUGGACUCGAGCCGGCAUAGGCUUGGUCGGGCUCCUUGGCGAACCAUGAGAAAUAAAAGCUUGACCUAUUAAGAGGUCUUGCUUGGCAUACUCGAGCAGUAUUGCCUCAAACAAAAGACAGGCGGGCCUGAUAUAGGGGUAUGUAAGGUGAAAGGGGACAUGAUAAGUGAAGUUCUACGGACUAAACCUACCCGAUUGACGGAGUGUCAACUCGUGGAGGUUCGUGAUCGUGCAAGUGAAAAAUAGCUCCUGAGAGCUCCUAUAUCCUUGAAUUGUUUCUGUUUACUUUUCUCGCUCGAAUUGUUAUUUAUUGCAAUAUUAUUGCUCUACUUGUUAAAUUGGGAUUGUUACUUGAACAUCGUGCCCGCAUGUGUGUUCUUGGCCUCACGAGCGUUUUGCUCACCCUGUGGAUUUGUUUUCCUUAACAUGGAAGGAUCUGGAGUGAAUCUCGGAGACACCCCCUUUGAAUGUACUUUUGUAUUAGGGUUUUCAAUGUACUGGGUUAGACUCUUGAUUAUUGUAUAUUUUGAGAUUUGAUAUAACCUUUGAGAACUUGAUGUAAGGAUUGGAUACUUGACGUAUUUUGGAACUCGUGAUGUAUAUUUGAAUGUUAUUUAUGGGAGUGACCUCCCUUUCUUACUUAUAUCAUCGUGUUGGCAGGUAUUUCAUUAAGCUUGAACGGGAAUUGUCUUGAGUCCUGGCGAGAGCUGGGCAGGCGUCCCGUGGAUAACCUUUCGUUCGCCUUAGGGAGAAGUGGGGGCGUCGCAGUUGCUAUCAGAUCUUAACCAAUUUCUCUCCAUUUUAAGCUUCUCUUGGCCGAACCUCUUGGAGCAAAAAUACAAGAAGAAAGCCUUCAACUCCAUUUCUUGCUCAAUCUUGUGAAUCAACCGUUAAACUUUCAAAUUCCUCCACAAAAGUCACUUGUUUGGGAAGAUUGAAGGUAGUGGUGGAGUGAUUAGAGAAGGCAAAGGACUAAGCCAUCAACUUUCUUGAUAUUUCAAGGUUCAUGUCUAGCAAUCCUUUCUUUGUUCUUGAUUAUGCUAAAUUAGUGACUUGUGAUGGCUAAAGAGAUGGUUUGAUGGAUUAUAUCUUGAGUUGUGGUUGACUUGAUGAAGUUUUAUUAUUUUUGGGGAUUUUUCUGUUUUAAUACGAACAUGGUUGUGUGGUUAUAUAUGAUUAUUGGAAAUGAUUUUUAAGGACUCUGUGAGGUGGAAAAAGUGGUUAAUUGCAAACAAUUUCUGUUUUGGAAGAAAUCUUGGAAAGUUAGGGUUUGAUGUUCUUCAUUCUGCCCGAAUUUGUAGCUCCUAGUUAGAGGCCGAAUUGGCCUUGGCUUAAAACAUGAAAGUUGUAGGGAAUGACAUUUUAGAGGUGUCUACAAAAUUUCAGGUCAAUCGGAGUAGUUUAGAAUGAGAAAAGUCCAAAUUACUAUUGCUGUUCUGGUUUUACCCGAAUGUAAGAAUUGCGCCUGUAAUUGGUUGUUGUGGCUGGAAUUGCUUCGGAAUUGGUUGUUGAGGUCUUCUGAUGAAAUUUAGCCCUGUUUCUUAUAUUUCAGCUGGUUUUGGAAUUUCUUGAUUUGGACUUGGAUAGCCUGGUUUAUGAUGUUUCUGCUAGAAUGCGUUCUGUGAAUCUGGUGUAGUAUCUUGCAUUUUUGACCUGGUUACACUCGAAACUGGGUUGAGUGACCUUCUGAAAUAUUGUAGCCCUGUCUCUUAGCUUCGAAACGGUGGGUCUUGCACCUUCAUCCGAUAAUCGUAGCGUCUUUGAUACCAUUACCGCAAAAUGACGUCAAAACCUGUUUUUCUGGUUUUGAGCUUAACUUUCAUUUCCAGACUUUUCCCUAGCUUGACUUGUACUAGUACUACUUGGAGCUUGCUGAAUGGCUAUUGGAUGAAAUUGUUGUUGUGUGUGUACCUUUGGGUUUGAAUGAAGCCAUGAUGGCUGGAAAAGUUUGCAAAUUCAGGGGAAGUGCUGUCCGAACUUUGAAGGGAUUUGUUUGCAUUGAGUUUGUGAUCUUAGACUUGGAUUUGAGCAAGGCAAUGUUAUAUGAUGGAUGAUUUCUGAGCCGUGGAGGUGAGUGACCCUAAACUAUUUCCAAAGUACUUGUGAAAUGUUUCUUGCAUUAUGUACUCGAUUGCAUAUCAUGCGUGCUUGCAUGUGAGUUCAUGACAUGAUUUGGCUUCAAUGAGUUCUGGGAAAGUCUUGUGCUGGACACCAACGUCUCCACUCUGUUUAUGGUUCAUGUUCAUGUUUAUCUGGAGCUCAAGAAGGGGCUCCCUCUUAAUGUUAAUGUUAAUCUUAAAUGAUCUAUUUGAGCGUUGGUUGUUCAAGUGCUAUGAUUUCCCUGGCUCACGAGAGCACUAAACGAACAUUUGAUCUCUGAAUCAUGACAUCAUCGAAAUGAUCGAAAUGCAACAUUGUGAAAUAUAUUUGUUUAAGGAUUUUACUGGUUACUCGCUGAGCUUCUAGCUCACCCCAAAAAUAUUUUAUUCCCCUCCACAGGGCUCAAAGCGAAGGAAGGUCUUGUUGUGCUUAUUAACAUGUCUGGAUGGCCUAUGUUUUGUACAGUUUGGAUUUGGAAAUCAUUUUAUGUAUAGUUGAGAAUUAUUUCCGCUUCGCUUUUGACAUGUAAUUAUUGGAGAAUUUGAUGUAAUACUUGAGGUUUAUUCUUGUAAUCUGUUUGAGGAUUGUAGUGAACGACUGAGUCCCGGCGAGAGCUGGGCAGGCGGCCCGCCGAACCCUCUGGUUCGCCUUAGGGGGAGGUGGGGCUGUCACAGUUGGUAUCAGAGCCAUAUGCCGACAGUUGGGACUUUAAGUCCUUCGUCUGGAAAAGCCCCGAGCCUCUCGUUCGUGAAGAGUCACGAAGCGAAACUCUCCGUAGGGGAUGCCCGCGUGCGGGUGGCAAGCUGAUAGGUACCCCGUGAUGUGACCCUGAGAACUGUCACAGGUGGUAUCAGAGCUUAGGCUUCAGAUCUCUGUGGUGUAUCCUAGGCUUUAAGUUUAGGAUGCCUGACUGUGGGUUUGGUUUGCAAUAUUAGUGAUUCUUGUGGGAUGUCUCGACUUGAUUGGUACAAGAUGGAAUGUCGAGGACGACAUUCUUUUAAGGAGGGGAGAUUGUGACGCCUCGAAAAGAAUGAGUGUGAGAACCCGAAAAUUUUCUAAUUUUCUAGUGUUUAUUUUAUUUAAUCGCCCGCCUUUUCUACAUUUUAUUUAUUAGAAAAAUUCCCCAGAUAAAGUUUAUGAGCAAAGAUAGUUUGAAAAUGAUUUUUCUAGUAUCGGUUAGUUUUUGAGAAAUUAAAAGCGUAUUUUGAACGUGGGACCCGUAAGUGCGGUAAAUGCAUUAUCUUUUUGACAACUUGUUGGAAUUUUGUAUUAAGUGAUAUUAUUUUACAAAGUGUUAAGAUAUUUGUAUUGGAGAGACAAAAAGAUAAGUUUUAAACCAACAGUUGACAUGUGUCACCUUCUUAUUCAAAGUUGGACUUUGACUAAUUUGCAUCACCUUUACUAAACCUCAAAAAAUUGACCAAUUUCUCUCCAUUUUAAGCUUGUCUUGGCCGAACCUCUUGGAGAAAAAAUACAAGAAGAAAGCCUUCAACUCCAUUUCUUGCUCAAUCUUGUGAAUCAACCGUUAAACUUUCAAAUUCCUCCACAAAAGUCACUUGUUUAGGAAGAUUGAAGGUAGUGGUGGAGUGAUUAGAGAAGGCAAAGGACUAAGCCAUCAACUUUCUUGAUAUUUCAAGGUUCAUGUCUAGCAAUCCUUUCUUUGUUCUUGAUUAUGCUAAAUUAGUGACUUGUGAUGGCUAAAGAGAUGGUUUGAUGGAUUAUAUCUUGAGUUGUGGUUGACUUGAUGAAGUUUUAUUAUUUUUGGGGAUUUUUCUGUUUUAAUACGAACAUGGUUGUGUGGUUAUAUAUGAUUAUUGGAAAUGAUGUUUAAGGACUCUGUGAGGUGGAAAAAGUGGUUAAUUGCAAACAAUUUCUGUUUUGGAAGAAAUCUUGGAAAGUUAGGGUUUGAUGUUCUUCAUUCUGCCCGAAUUUGUAGCUCCUAGUUAGAGGCCGAAUUGGCCUUGGCUUAAAACAUGAAAGUUGUAGGGAAUGACAUUUUAGAGGUGCCUACAAAAUUUCAGGUCAAUCGGAGUAGUUUAGAAUGAGAAAAGUCCAAAUUACUAUUGCUGUUCUGGUUUUACCCGAAUGUAAGAAUUGCGCCUGUAAUUGGUUGUUGUGGCUGGAAUUGCUUCGGAAUUGGUUGUUGAGGUCUUCUGAUGAAAUUUAGCCCUGUUUCUUAUCUUUCAGCUGGUUUUGGAAUUUCUUGAUUUGGACUUGGAUAGCCUGGUUUAUGAUGUUUCUGCUAGAAUGCGUUCUGUGAAUCUGGUGUAGUAUCUUGCAUUUUUGACCUGGUUACACUCGAAACUGGGUUGAGUGACCUUCUGAAAUAUUGUAGCCCUGUCUCUUAGCUUCGAAACGGUGGGUCUUGCACCUUCAUCCGACAAUCGUAGCGUCUUUGGUACCAUUACCGCAAAAUGACGUCAAAACCUGUUUUUCUGGUUUUGAGCUUAACUUUCAUUUCCGGACUUUUCCCUAGCUUGACUUGUACUAGUACUACUUGGAGCUUGCUGAAUGGCUAUUGGAUGAAAUUGUUGUUGUGUGUGUACCUUUGGGUUUGAAUGAGCAAAAUAAUGAAGCCAUGAUGGCUGGAAAAGUUUGCAAAUUCAGGAGAAGUGCUGUCCGAACUUUGAAGGGAUUUGUUUGCAUUGAGUUUGUGAUCUUAGACUUGGAUUUGAGCAAGGCAAUGUUAUAUGAUGGAUGAUUUCUGAGCCGUGGAGGUGAGUGACCCUAAACUAUUUCCAAAGUACUUGUGAAAUGUUUCUUGCAUUAUGUACUCGAUUGCAUAUCAUGCGUGCUUGCAUGUGAGUUCAUGACAUGAUUUGGCUUCAAUGAGUUCUGGGAAAGUCUUGUGCUGGACACCAACGUCUCCACUCUGUUUAUGGUUCAUGUUCAUGUUUAUCUGGAGCUCAAGAAGGGGCUCCCUCUUAAUGUUAAUGUUAAUGUUAAAUGAUCUAUUUGAGCGUUGGGUGUUCAAGUGCUAUGAUUUCCCUGGCUCACGAGAGCACUAAACGAACAUUUGAUCUCUGAAUCAUGACAUCAUCGAAAUGAUCGAAAUGCAACAUUGUGAAAUAUAUUUGUUUAAGGAUUUUACUGGUUACUCGCUGAGCUUCUAGCUCACCCCAAAAAUAUUUUAUUCCCCUCCACAGGGCUCAAAGCGAAGGAAGGUCUUGUUGUGCUUAUUCACAUGUCUGGAUGGCCUAUGUUUUGUACAGUUUGGAUUUGGAAAUCAUUUUAUGUAUAGUUGAGAAUUAUUUCCGCUUCGCUUUUGACAUGUAAUUAUUGGAGAAUUUGAUGUAAUAUUUGAGGUUUAUUCUUGUAAUCUGUUUGAGGAUUGUAGUGAACGACUGAGUCCCGGCGAGAGCUGGGCAGGCGGCCCGCCGAACCCUCUGGUUCGCCUUAGGGGGAGGUGGGGCUGUCACAGUUGGUAUCAGAGCCAUAUGCCGACAGUUGGGACUUUAAGUCCUUCGUCUGGAAAAGCCCCGAGCCUCUCGUUCGUGAAGAGUCACGAAGCGAAACUCUCCGUAGGGGAUGCCCGCGUGCGGGUGGCAAGCUGAUAGGUACCCCGUGAUGUGACCCUGAGAACUGUCACAGGUGGUAUCAGAGCUUAGGCUUCAGAUCUCUGUGGUGUAUCCUAGGCUUUAAGUUUAGGAUGCCUGACUGUGGGUUUGGUUUGCAAUAUUAGUGAUUCUUGUGGGAUGUCUCGACUUGAUUGGUACAAGAUGGAAUGUCGAGGACGACAUUCUUUUAAGGAGGGGAGAUUGUGACGCCUCGAAAAGAAUGAGUGUGAGAACCCGAAAAUUUUCUAAUUUUCUAGUGUUUAUUUUAUUUAAUCGCCCGCCUUUUCUACAUUUUCUUUAUUAGAAAAAUUCCCCAGAUAAAGUUUAUGAGCAAAGAUAGUUUGAAAAUGAUUUUUCUAGUAUCGGUUAGUUUUUGAGAAAUUAAAAGCGUAUUUUGAACGUGGGACCCGCAAGUGCGGUAAAUGCAUUAUUUUUUGACAACUUGUUGGAAUUUUGUAUUAAGUGAUAUUAUUUUACAAAGUGUUAAGAUAUUUGUAUUGGAGAGACAAAAAGAUAAGUUUUAAACCAAAAGGUGACAUGUGUCACCUUCUUAUUCAAAGUUGGACUUUGACUAAUUUGCAUCACCUUUACUAAACCUCAAAAAAUUGACCAAUUUCUCUCCAUUUUAAGCUUGUCUUGGCCGAACCUCUUGGAGCAAAAAUACAAGAAGAAAGCCUUCAACUCCAACUCCAUUUCUUGCUCAAUCUUGUGAAUCAACCGUUAAACUUUCAAAUUCCUCCACAAAAGUCACUUGUUUAGGAAGAUUGAAGGUAGUGGUGGAGUGAUUAGAGAAGGCAAAGGACUAAGCCAUCAACUUUCUUGAUAUUUCAAGGUUCAUGUCUAGCAAUCCUUUCUUUGUUCUUGAUUAUGCUAAAUUAGUGACUUGUGAUGGCUAAAGAGAUGGUUUGAUGGAUUAUAUCUUGAGUUGUGGUUGACUUGAUGAAGUUUUAUUAUUUUUGGGGAUUUUUCUGUUUUAAUACGAACAUGGUUGUGUGGUUAUAUAUGAUUAUUGGAAAUGAUGUUUAAGGACUCUGUGAGGUGGAAAAAGUGGUUAAUUGCAAACAAUUUCUGUUUUGGAAGAAAUCUUGGAAAGUUAGGGUUUGAUGUUCUUCAUUCUGCCCGAAUUUGUAGCUCCUAGUUAGAGGCCGAAUUGGCCUUGGCUUAAAACAUGAAAGUUGUAGGGAAUGACAUUUUAGAGGUGCCUACAAAAUUUCAGGUCAAUCGGAGUAGUUUAGAAUGAGAAAAGUCCAAAUUACUAUUGCUGUUCUGGUUUUACCCGAAUGUAAGAAUUGCGCCUGUAAUUGGUUGUUGUGGCUGGAAUUGCUUCGGAAUUGGUUGUUGAGGUCUUCUGAUGAAAUUUAGCCCUGUUUCUUAUCUUUCAGCUGGUUUUGGAAUUUCUUGAUUUGGACUUGGAUAGCCUGGUUUAUGAUGUUUCUGCUAGAAUGCGUUCUGUGAAUCUGGUGUAGUAUCUUGCAUUUUUGACCUGGUUACACUCGAAACUGGGUUGAGUGACCUUCUGAAAUAUUGUAGCCCUGUCUCUUAGCUUCGAAACGGUGGGUCUUGCACCUUCAUCCGACAAUCGUAGCGUCUUUGGUACCAUUACCGCAAAAUGACGUCAAAACCUGUUUUUCUGGUUUUGAGCUUAACUUUCAUUUCCGGACUUUUCCCUAGCUUGACUUGUACUAGUACUACUUGGAGCUUGCUGAAUGGCUAUUGGAUGAAAUUGUUGUUGUGUGUGUACCUUUGGGUUUGAAUGAGCAAAAUAAUGAAGCCAUGAUGGCUGGAAAAGUUUGCAAAUUCAGGGGAAGUGCUGUCCGAACUUUGAAGGGAUUUGUUUGCAUUGAGUUUGUGAUCUUAGACUUGGAUUUGAGCAAGGCAAUGUUAUAUGAUGGAUGAUUUCUGAGCCGUGGAGGUGAGUGACCCUAAACUAUUUCCAAAGUACUUGUGAAAUGUUUCUUGCAUUAUGUACUCGAUUGCAUAUCAUGCGUGCUUGCAUGUGAGUUCAUGACAUGAUUUGGCUUCAAUGAGUUCUGGGAAAGUCUUGUGCUGGACACCAACGUCUCCACUCUGUUUAUGGUUCAUGUUCAUGUUUAUCUGGAGCUCAAGAAGGGGCUCCCUCUUAAUGUUAAUGUUAAUGUUAAAUGAUCUAUUUGAGCGUUGGGUGUUCAAGUGCUAUGAUUUCCCUGGCUCACGAGAGCACUAAACGAACAUUUGAUCUCUGAAUCAUGACAUCAUCGAAAUGAUCGAAAUGCAACAUUGUGAAAUAUAUUUGUUUAAGGAUUUUACUGGUUACUCGCUGAGCUUCUAGCUCACCCCAAAAAUAUUUUAUUCCCCUCCACAGGGCUCAAAGCGAAGGAAGGUCUUGUUGUGCUUAUUCACAUGUCUGGAUGGCCUAUGUUUUGUACAGUUUGGAUUUGGAAAUCAUUUUAUGUAUAGUUGAGAAUUAUUUCCGCUUCGCUUUUGACAUGUAAUUAUUGGAGAAUUUGAUGUAAUAUUUGAGGUUUAUUCUUGUAAUCUGUUUGAGGAUUGUAGUGAACGACUGAGUCCCGGCGAGAGCUGGGCAGGCGGCCCGCCGAACCCUCUGGUUCGCCUUAGGGGGAGGUGGGGCUGUCACACCGAAUUUCUAUCUGGCUUGAACCAAAGCCUGCUCUGGUUAUCAAGAAGAUAAGGCACUGUUCUCCAAAGCCAGCUUUGGAUUACCAAAGCCAGUUGUUGUGUUUUAUGGUGCUAAUUCAUGAUUCUUUUUGAAUUAUGUUCAUGGAGGCUGCCUUGUAAUCUGGAAAACAUAGAAAAUGCAUAGUUGUACUUUACAUUGUAUGUUUCUUGAAGCUCUUAUAAUUGUAUGUUUUUGUUGGCAGUCUUUUGGCUUAUUCUGUGGCCACUGAAAACUUGUGGAAUAUUCUGAUAUAGUAUGCGUGCUGGAAAUAGCUUGAUUAGUUCUUCAAAUUUAGGUUUCCUUUGGCAUUUAGAAUCCCUGGAUUUAAUGCUAAAGGCACAUGCUGAAAACACAUGGAUCCUAUUAAAGGCCACAAACAUAAUGGUCCUAGUGGGAGAUCUUUUUUCUUUUUUCCCCCCUCUAUGGCAGAGAAAUUUUUUCAUCUUCUACCAAACUCUUUCUCGGUCAUAUUGCUGCUUUGAUGAUUUCUCAGCUGUCCAUUGAACUUUGAUCCAUUUGCAGAUAAAUCUUUUAGUAUUAAUUGCAGUUAUCAUGGGAUUAAAAUAUUAAUGUGGAAUGGUUUUUACAGUGCAUCACAAAUACAAUGUUUAUUCCAUCCUUUCUAAUUUCGUUGAUCAGGUCUUUUCAGUGAGAGAGCUAUUUAUAUAAGAUAUCACCUAGUUGCAAUUUUUCAACUCCUUUAUGUAGAUUGGCACAUUACAAUUAAUAGGAUCACAAGCUAUAAGCAAAAAAUAAUAAUGAUAAUAAUAAGUAGAUCUUUUUCCUGAUGUGAUCAAAUUCAAUAUCAAAGUUCAUCAUUUAGUUUUUUUAAACCUUACUAGAAGGUAGAAAACAGUUCUUGAUUGAACUAGUGCUUUCUUUCUGCUGCUAGGCAGAUUUGUAUUUUGUGCGCUCAAUAAGUAUUAAUUUUAGCACGUGGAUAUGUCUACCAUAUGUAUCUAACCUGAUAGGAGAGUUUCAAUUGGUCAUCUUCUGCAACAGCAACAUCUGUUAAUAUUUAGGUUAAUUUGAUGGUUGAUCUUGAUAGCUAAAGAGAGAAUAUCUUAAAGCUAUAUACUAUUAUUGAAUAGAUUGUGAUUAUUUGUUAUGUAUAUUUACAGUUUUAAUAUAGCAUUAACUAAAGCCUUUUUAUAUAAUUUCUGUCGCUCUUGUUCUUGGGUCAUAUCGUUAUCCCCUAUCCUUGAACUCUAUCAUUCAACUGAUGCAAUGAAAUAACUAAACUUGUUUAAUAAAUGAAUUCAUUUAGGAGACAAGGAUUGAGAUAAUUAACUGCUUGAAAAGCUUGUCAAGCAUUCUACUGAAGUAGCAUUUAUAUCUAGACUUGUUCUCUUGUCAACUAAAGAGGAAAGGAAAUGUAAAGUGUAAAAAAACAAAAGCUUAUGUGGAUUGGAUUAAUAUGUAGACCAGGAAGGGUAGCUUUUGUUUGACUUUGGUUUCUUGAAGGGCACAUUUUAAAUUUAUUCCUAUAUCAAGUUUUAAGGAUUCUGAAAAACGGGAAGAAACCAUUAAUGAAGUAAAGGAAAUGGAAUUUUUUUGCACUUUGUGACAACUAGAAGUGAUAAUAUAUUGAUAUUUACUAUCCAUGAAUACCACAAAAUAUGAAUGUGUUCUUGGCAAGAACUUCUUUUGAAUGCUAUGUUGAUCUUGACACACUAUUAAAGUUCAAUUCGUACAAGAUGACAUUUGUUAAUCCAUGUGUCUUUGGCUAAUGUACCUGUCAUUCCCAAUGAUCCUCUGUCUUCUAUUAAGGUGAUUCUAUGAGCUUUUCUCAAGCUUGAUUUCUAUGUAUUUCAAUAGAUAUGUUUGUGCCCACCCCAGUCAGAUAGAAAUCUACUUGAAUUGUUUGAGUCUGAUUUCAGCGUGCUUUUGGUUACAAAAGGUAAUGCCAUACUUAAAAAUCCAGUUUUUUGAGCUUUUUCCUUAGACAGACACUUUUUUUUUUUGCUGUGUUCUUUCAGCAAUUGUAGUUGCUACGAUAAACCUUCUAAAGUUGGUUCAAAGUAGAUUUUAAAUCUGACAUGAUCAAUAUUCUUGGGUCAUUUUGGUCUCUAUUAACUUUUUUGCUCUCUAAAUUACUGAAAUCUUGUUAUUUUCUUUGUACAUUGCUAAGUUUGCUAAAUUAUGUGGAGUGCUCUGAGGUUGUGUUUACGAACUUGCGCGUUGUUUUAAGAAAAUCCAAACUGAUCACUCCUCUUGUCUGGUUUGAAAUCCUUUGAGUUGCUUAUUUGGUACCAUCAGAUGAUGUUUACUGAAUCAUUGAGUAAAACUGACAUACUCCUUUGCAAAGGAAAUAUUACUUCUGCAUCUAUAACUCUUUUGUCUUCAUUUUUUUUCCUGCCUUUUAAGCUCAAGAUCACUUAUUUGCUUUUUGUAACUUUUCUUUAGCAAAUUUAUAACAUUCAGAAACUCAUCUUAUAGUGAAUUUGCUGAAACUCAGUUCAGUUUCCGAAUGGUGUUUUUGUUAUUUUAUCCAUGUUAUUAUGGCUUUUUAGUCCGGUUCUGAUCUGGCUAUGUUUUUUAUGAAUCUAAUCUUGUUCAUGUCAGAAGGUACCACCAAUUGAAGUGAGGAAAAUAAUUGACUUUUGUCAAACUCCAAACUAGUCUUAUAGACUUAUACAAUGAAUUCUGAAUGGUCAAAGAUAGGCGUACAGCCACUGGAUAAGACAUAUUUGAUUUAAGCCAUUUUCUGAAUUCUGAAUUUUUAUUCUUUCUUGUCAAUAAGUUUUGUCGUUUUUGGCAUCAUUGUCUAAGUUUCAUCUUAGAGGCUUGUUUCUUGUAUUUUCCUCUGAUUAGGUUCUGAAUGGUUCAAUUGGUACUUGCUAAAACAGUGUCUGAUUCCGUUUCCUUUUACUAUGUGCACAGAAAUGGCACUGUCUUCUCAUUUCAAAUUCCACAUCAGUCCAAAGCACAAGGAGUUUAUUUGGGUGUUGUUGAACGAUAUGGGAGUUCAUGACCUUUGACCAAUUCACACGGGAUUUUCUGUAUUUUACCCUUUUAGUAGCCAUUCCCCGAAAUAGAAUCCUUUGAUCAUCAAGACCUGAAGCAGCCGCUAAUCAACCAUGGCUGCUACCAU
rnacentral:lncRNA from 1 species